rnacentral:lncRNA from 1 species
CAACUCGAGGUGAAAAGUCCCAAAAUCUCCAUUUUUACACAGUGAGUUAAGCAUGGCUAUCCAAAGCUUUAAGAAACUUCUUUUUCCAUCUUUUAACCUAUUUUCAUGUUAGUUUAGUUUACAACACCUUCAUCUUUUUAUGUUUUCAUCUUAACCUAAUUUUUAUUAAGAAAAGUUCACUCCAUCCUCCGAACUUCACCAGUUAAAGUAAAAACCCUUCCCAGUGUUCGAUCCUAGAGCCACUAUGCUAUAGUAGCUUUGCUACUUUAGUGUAAGGACCUUAGGUAUAAAUUUUGUUGAUACCCUUACAUGCCAAGCUACCAAGAGUCGGGUUAUCAUUAACCUAACCAUUGGCCUGUGUAAAUUGAUUUCACAUGCACAAUGUUGUAGUAGAAGUCCAUAUUUUGAAUUUUAUUUUUGUAAAGGUAAGGAAAAUGAAGCAUUGUGUAAUUAUAAAAAUAACUUCAUUGGAAUUCACAAGGUUCACCCAAAAUGGAGCUACAUCUGUAUUCUAUCCUACAGUAGACUAUAUAGAUUGUACAAUAGUAAAUUGCAAAUACAAUUAAUAAGUCUUGUGCUUCCUUACUAAUAAUCCUUUGACAUGAACAUUGCAGCACUAAGGUCCUCUUGGGAAGACACCUUGCACCCAUGAGAGCACUAAGAGGAAGCAAGGCAGAGUCAUGGGUGCAAUGUCAUGACUUGUUGUUGCACCAAGAGAGGCUUGGUGAUGCCAUGGUGUUGCAGUAGCAAGAAUGUUGCCUUGGCAGGGACACGAUCUAGGGAUAGAUGCCAAGAAAGGCUUAGCACUCACAUGAGUUGCACAAAGAUGAAUGUAAUAGAGCAUCAGAGAGACGUCUUGGCAAGUAAAUGAAUGGAUCCAAGAGACAACAACAUGAGGAGUUUCAAAUGGAUAAGGAAUGACUCAAAGACAUUUGAAAGCUACAAGUUGGAUUCUAAUUACGAUUGCAAUUUGAGUUUGAGUAGGAGUUUAGAUUUUGAUUGUAAUUGUAGUAUGAGUUGGACUAGGAUUGCUUAUCCUUAGUCAAUAUAGGAGCGGUUCGUGUCACCCUAUGAAAAGAGUUUGAGUAGGGACUAGGAUUGCUUACUCCUAGUCAAAUAUGGAGUAGGUGGUGCCACACCUAUAAAAAAAAGGGACAACAUGAGAGAGAGAGAGAGAGAGAAAGAGAGAGUGAAUUCACUAAAGAUAUUGUGGGAGUUUUGCUUUGUUACGUCUUGUAUUAUUACUUAGAAUAGGAAUAAAAUACAAGUUGGGGCUAGAGCCCCAUAAUUAAUCUCGUGUGCCUUUGUGGUUAUUCUUUAUUUGUCAUCUCGUGUGGAUUGGAUUAGGUUGACUUAGAGGGCUUCUAAGCACCACCUUUGUGGGUUAUUAUUUAUUUUCCAUCUCUUGUGGAUUAGAUUAGGUUGACUUAGAGGGCUUCUGAGCACCACCUUUGUGGGUUAUUAUUUAUUUUCCAUCUAUUGUGGAUUAGAUUAGGUUGACUUAGAGGGCUUUUAAGCACCACAUUUGUGGGUUAUUCUUUAUUUUCCAUAUCGUGUGGGUUGGAUUAGGUUGACAAGGAGAAAAAUUAUGUGGGAAAUUUGUGUUGGGACACUUACCAUAACCAAGUAAAAUCUACCAAGUCCUUUGUAAUAUCUUCAACAAAUAUUUUAGACUAGUUCUUUCAGUUAGUGUAAAGGAGGAAGAAGUGGUAUUGAUUCUAGAAAUAGGGUGUGUGUAUUUGAACUACAAUCCUUAUGAUCCUUAGGUCUCUAAACCUUCGUGAUGGGCUCCCUGACAUUUCAUAGGUUGUGCUACACAUGCGUUUGAAAUUUAGAGUGCGUUUGACAGUGAUUCCGGGAAGUGUUUUUGGCCUUUCUUACACUUGAAAAUUUUUAUUUUUCAAGUAUUAGAAAUGCUACAAACACUUUUGAAAAUUACUGUCAAACACACUCUUAGGAGCGCACAUAUAUAGUAGAAAACUAGAAAUUGUGGUUUUUUUAGGAUUUACUGUAAUGUCAUUAGGAGGGUAGUAAGUUGAAAUUGAGUAUGAACAAAUAUUUCUUUCUUUGGGAUGUUCUUCUAGUAGGUGCUGAUGAAACUGUUCUUUCUACUGCCAAUGUCACAUAUCAGCCAGAAAUUGAAAAUUUCAGUCAAGGUGUCCUCUGUUUUAGUGGUGAGGAAAGCUAGAAAUUUUAAGGUGAAGUUUUGUUAAAAACCUUAAGUAGCUGGGAUAUCAGGCCUGUUUUGCUUGAAAAAAAAAGUUGCAAGAUAACUCAUAUGCCAAACAGGUUCUGAUAUUGUGAAUCUAUCGGCAGACAUCAGUAAUCUCAUCUUCUGAGAUGGAUGUUGGGGGUGCAUGUGGUGGUGGAGGGGCAAGGUUUCAUUUGGUUUAUUUUGUUGAUGGAUAUUGUCUAGCCACCUGCGCCAAGUUUGAGGGGUGGUGGGUUGUGAUGACCCUACAAUUACUAUUAAUUUCUUCAUCUUUUACCGAUUAAAGUGUCCGAACAGUCGAAGUUACCCUUAUGCAUGUCAACUUGAUCACUUACCUCUUCAAUGGAGUUUAUGCUGGUUCAUUUAGGAACUGAUUUUUAUUGUUAUGUAUUAUAUGCUGAUGUUUAGGUCUCUCCAUCAUCACUAUAUACAAAAAUUCUAGGUUGAUACUAUAGGUUGAGAUUUAUUUUUUAAAUAAAAAAUAAUAAAAAUAAAAAUUAUGGUGAUGUUUAGUUGUUUUAUGGAAAAUUUUAACAAGUAAAAGUUAUUUUUGGGCAAGUUUUCAAACAAAAAGAAAAGUAAAAGUUGUUUUGACAAAAACAUAUAGAAAAAAAAAUCAUAGAAAAUAAAUAAUUUCCCCAUAUUCUAACUUUUUUGAAUUUUUCUCAAUGGGCAAAGGAAUAUCAAAUCAAGUUUGAGUAGGAUUUCUUAAUUUUUAAAAUAACUUACAAUUAAAAAAUUUUGGUGUUUUCAUUUUUGGACAAUUUUUUAUUAAGCAAAUGGACUCUGAGUCAUGCAAGAGAUAUGGUUCAUUAACCGGUCGAACAAUUUUUUUAAAUUAAUUUAAAAGUCAAAUACAUAAUCAAUUUCACAAAAUUUAUAAACAAAAAUAGGUUUAGAGAAGAUCUACACAUAAUUUUACUUUUCUAAUUUUAUUUUAUUUUAUUUUUUGUUGGAAAAUAGUCUUCAAAUCAUGUAAGAUUUAAUAGGUUAAAUUUGUUAACAAUAAAUUUUAAAUUAUAAAAUAUAAUCUGGAACUCAAAAAUCAAUUCAAGUAAUGCUAAAAAAAAAUCAAAUUUGGUAUAGAAUGACUUUGUAAAUUUUUUUACAAAACAAAUGAAUUUUAAAUCAAGUGAGAUUUAAUGCAUUAGAUUUUUAUCAAAUAUAGUAAUUUUAAAAAUAAAUUUGGAACUCAACAAUAGACACAAUAAAUACCAAAAAAUAAUGAACCAAAAUUGGUUUGGAAUAACUCCACAACCUUUUUUUUUUUUUUUUGGUGCACACGAAUUUUCUUACUAGGUAUAUUGCUUUCAAAUUGAGAAAGAUUUACCAUUUAGAUUUUUUUUUAAUGAGUUUAAUGGUAUUUUAAAAUAAUUCAAAAUUUAAAAAAUUGACUAAUUAAUAUUAUAAAUUGAUAAACCAAGACUAUUUCAAAAUGCAUUGGGGGCUAAGGGGGUUGAAAAUAGGGACAAUGGGAUGGGUUUGGGACAUGACACUCAUAUCUCAUUUCCAUUCCAAUUACACAGUUAUCUCCCAUCCUUAUCCCAAACUUGUGUUGGAGCAAGUUGAUUUGUUCCCAUCUUUGUUGACGAAAUGACUAAUAACCUCAUCCCCUCCUUAUCUUAGAUGUACAUUUUGUCAAAUUUGAUCAGGUAUGAUUGAUCCAAGCCCUAACCCUAAUUGGUAAUGAGUGAAUACUACACCUAAUUGCAUUCUUCUUUCAUUGCAAAAUAAUGAGAUUAUAAUAAUCUAGCAAAUAAGAAAAAAUAGUAUGGAAGUUCAAAUUAACACCAUAACUAUCAAUAAUUUUAAGCUUAUAGAUGACUUAAAUGAUUAAAAACUAAUGCAAAAUCCUAAAAAAAAUAAAAAUCAUAUAAAGAAUUCACAAGAGAACAGAAUGAACAAAAACCAAAUAUGAACAUGGGUCAACAUUAGUUAUGGAUUUGGAUUCCUUUCAAGGCCAAUCUUUGAACCAAGACUUCAUCAAAUCAACUACUUCAAAGGCUUUUGUGUUCUUCUUGGGUUGUGCUCUCAAACAAAGACUUCGAGGUGAUGUUCUAGAUGAUUGAAUUACACAUAUUUAGGGUGGAGAGAUUGGAGAAGCUUGAAGAUGCCAACGAUGGGUACAAUUGAGUGGUCAAUAAGAACAAUGUAGCCUAUGACUAGUUUGAUGUCAUGGUACAAGAGUUUUAGGCAUUGAGGUUAAAGCAAGAGCAACAUGGAAUUGAUUUCGGAGUCUUUCAGUUAGUGUAAAGGAGGAAGAAGUGGUGUUGAUUCUAGAAAUAGGGUUUUAAGUGGUGCGUGAUUACUACUCAAAAAGUGCUAUUUGAUAGCCUUUAAUUAAUCCUUUUUAACACUUUUGAGUAGUAGUUUAGGCCUUUUAACUCAAUUGGCAUGUUAAGGAUCCUUUAAAGCAAUUUUGAUCACUUUGUGCAAGUUUUGGUGUUUUUGUUAGUAUUUUGAUCACCAAAGCAAGUCAAGAAUGAGGAGAACUAUGAGGAAUCAUGGGCAAAGCUUAGAAUUCAAUUGCCAAGAGUGAAUCCGGAUUGCAAGGAGAAAAAGCAAAGAGAAUCUGUCAUGAAGCCUAUUCUUGAUGACAGUCGUAGCAGCCACUUUUGGAGCACUUUCUGAAGUCCAAAUGAUGCAAGCUAUAUACCAUUUCAAAGAUCAGGAAGUCAACAAUCCAAUGCUUCAAACGGUGCGCGAUUCGGAGUUGAAACGAAGAAGUUGCAGCCAUUACAAGCCAGUCACUCUAAAGUGUUGCGGAAUCAGCCUUUUGUUGCGAGAAUUUCGCAGCACUUUUGUACAGUAAGGUGUUUCUCCUUCUGACGAUGCACGAACCAUGCCGCGAGAGGGAAGCUAGGAACUUCAAGAUGGAAGCCAACUUUGCAGCCUGGUGAAGAUAGCUUGGUCUUGCGAAAUAAUUUCGCAGCCCUCUUGGGUGUCUGCGAAAUUUCGCAGGCACCACUUUUUUCCUGCGAAAUGGCUCCGGAAGCCUCCCGAAGCUUGCUACCGACAUUGGGAGAUAUUUUCCAUUAGAUUUUUGUUGUCUAAAUUCCAAAAUACUCCUUGUAAACCACCAAUUACAUGAUUCCUUAGUUUUUAAGUUAGUAAAAAGACCAAAUAUCUAUGUAAUAAUUAGUUUUAUAUUAGUUUGCUAUAAAUACCUCUCGGGAGCAUGUUCUCAGAGAGGAGUUCCUUCUGUAACCAUUUUGGUAAGCAAGUAAAGUCUUUUCUUUCUACUGCCUUACCUUCUCACUUUGUAUUUUCAUUUUAUUUCUAAGUUAUGAAUUCUCUGAGGAGCUUUCCCCAGAGAAUGAGUAACUAAACCUCCAAUUCCUUGGAGCUAAGGUUGCCGGGGAAGGUUCCAAGUGCAAGAAUGCAAAGCUCUGUGGUUUUAGCUAGUAAUGAAGAGGAAGUGAAAUCCUUUAGUGAUUUCAAUGUUUUUAGUUAACUUAAAACACCUUGGAGUCACCUGGGCCAACACUUGGUAAGGCAAGUGAUUUCCAACCGUGGAAAUGCACUAGUUUACCCCUUGCGAGCCUCUGGUAGGUGACUUCAAGGUAGGAUUUUCUGGAAUUACCAACACUUGGUAAGCUUUUGGACUCCUAGGAGACAUCCAUUAGUUAUCUCUUGCGAGUUUGUGAAGGGGAAUCCAAGGUUAAAGAUCACCUUGAAUGGUAAGUGCUCGUGAGAGGCAUGAACCAUUGCAAGUUGUAUCAGUGAGAGAAUUAAAGUGAAAUCUAAUUGAAGGAGUCUCUGUACAUCACCGGUUAGAGAAUUGACUAUAAGUUGAAUCUCUAAUGCGAGGAAAUGAACCAUCUGACCGGAGCUAUGUCUUUUGCAUGAGGAACCACCCCAGUGAACCUAAAUCUCCAAGGAAUGCUUUUCUUCCUAAAUUAUUCCAAACUUCUGUUAAGUUAGUUAGUUUAAGUCUAAACCUUUACCAAUCAAACUUUGUGUUUUAUUUCUUAAGCUAACCGUGAAAUGAAACAAAACCAAUUCACUUGGAAUUGGUAUCCUUGAUUGCUUGCAAAUCAUUCCCAGUGAACGAUCCUUAGAGCCACUAUACUAUAGUAGCUUUGUAUUUGCUACCCUAGUGUAUGGUGUUAUAGGUAUAAAUUUUGUUGAUCACUUCCUCAAUCAAGGAACACCAGCUGAACACAAAUCAGCUGAGACACCAAUUGGGCAUGAGUCAAAUGGCGCCGUUGCCGGGGAAUGAGUGUCAAGAUCAUUGUGAUACCAUUUUUGAGCACUUGUGAUUUUCAUCACAAGUUGGUAAAGUUUCUUUCACUUUACUAAUUUUCAUUCUCUCUUUGUUUAUUUACAAUCUAAGUUUAUCUUUUUAAAAUUUAGUCUAGUUUAAUUUUGCUAUUGUAGCCUUGUUUCUCUUGUUGUCCUCUGUUCUUGUUGUCCUCUGUUUUCAUUUUAGUUGCAGCUGAAUACUAGUUGUGUAUGCCAAAGUGGAUACGAGACAUUGGAGGUAGGCUUAUUAAGUGUGAUACACCUCAGAGAGGAGAAUUGGAAGUAAUCUUGAAUAUCAUGGAGGCUGCACCUGAAGAUCAGCAUAGUCACCAAGGUCGUCAAGACAAUCUCAAUGAAUUCAGAUCAAUGAGGGACCGUAUGCAUCCACCUCGUAUGAGUGCACCAUCAUGUAUAGUGCCCCCUACAGAGCAACUAGUGAUCAGACCAUAUCUUGUUCCACUUCUACCAACUUUCCAUGGGAUGGAAAGUGAGAAUCCGUAUGCACACAUCAAGGAAUUUGAAGAUGUUUGUAAUACAUUCCAAGAGGGAGGAGCUUCAAUUGAUUUGAUGAGGCUUAAGUUAUUUCCUUUUAAUUUAAAGGAUAAGGCCAAAAUUUGGCUUAAUUCUUUAAGGCCAAGGAGUAUCCGCUCUUGGACUGAUUUACAAGCUGAAUUCCUCAAGAAAUUUUUUCCUACUCAUAGAACAAAUGGCUUGAAAAGGCAAAUUUCAAACUUCUCAGCUAAAGAGAAUGAGAAAUUCUAUGAGUGUUGGGAAAGAUACAUGGAAGCUAUAAAUGCUUGUCCUCACCAUGGCUUUGAUACUUGGCUACUGGUGAGUUAUUUUUAUGAUGGUAUGUCCUCCUCAAUGAAGCAACUCCUCGAGAAAAUGUGUGGAGAAGAUUUCAUGAGCAAAAAUCCAGAGGAAGCUAUGGAUUUCUUGAGCUAUGUAGCUGAUGUUUCAAGGGGAUGGGAUGAACCAACUAAAGGAGAAGUGGGAAAGAUGAAGUCUCAGUUGAAUGCUUACAAUGCAAAGGCUGGGAUGUAUACUUUAAAAGAGGAUGAUGACAUGAAAGCAAAGUUGGCAGCUAUGACAAGAAGAUUGGAGGAGCUGGAGCUGAAAAGAAUGCAUGAAGUGCAAGCUGUUGCUGAAGCACCAGUGCAAGUGAAGUUGUGUCCCAAUUGUCAAUCGUUUGAACAUUUGGUAGAGGAAUGCCCUGCAAUUUCAGCUGAAAGGGAAAUGUAUAGAGAUCAAGCAAAUGUUGUUGGACAAUUCAGGCCCAAUAACAAUGCUCCUUAUGGAAAUACCUACAAUUCAAGUUGGAGGAAUCAUCCAAAUUUUUCAUGGAAGGCCAGAGCAACUCAAUACCAACAGCCGGAUCCACCAUCUCAACAAUCUUCAAGUAUUGAACAAAUAAUAGCUAAUCUCAGCAAGGUAGUGGGAGAUUUUGUGGGAAAGCAAGAAGCCACCAAUGCUCGAGUGGAUCAAAGAAUGGACAGAGUGGAUCAAAGAAUGGACAGAAUGGAGAGUAUGUUGAACAAAAGAAUGGAUGGAAUGCAAAAUGAUAUGAAUCAAAAAUUUGAUAACAUCCAAUAUUCAAUUUCAAGGCUUACAAAUUUGAAUACACUGCAAGAAAAGGGAAGAUUUCCUUCUCAACCUAACCAAAAUCCCAAAGGUGUCCAUGAAGUGGAAAGCCAUGAGGGAGAAUCAUCACAGGUGAAAGAUGUGAAAGCUUUGAUCACUCUAAGGAGUGGUAAGAAAAUUGAGCAGCCAACACCCAAGCCACAUGUUGAGAAAGAAGAAGAGAUGAAGAAAGGGAAGGAAAUGGAAGAUAAAGGCAGUGAGAUCAGUGAAGAAAAGAAGGACUCUGAUGCAACAAUGAAAGUAAUUCCAGAGAAGGAGCUUCUGAAGGAAGAAAUGCUGAAGAAAUCAACUUUUCCACCUUUUCCUCAAGCAUUACAGGGGAAAAAGGGGGUUAGAAAUGCAGCUGAAAUCCUAGAAGUAUUGAGGCAAGUGAAAGUUAAUAUUCCACUGCUGGAUAUGAUCAAACAAGUUCCAACGUAUGCAAAAUUCCUAAAGGACUUGUGUACUAUCAAAAGAGGGUUGACUGUAAACAAGAAAGCCUUCUUGACUGAGCAAGUAAGUGCAAUCUUACAGUGUAAGUCUCCUUUGAAGUACAAAGACCCUGGAAGUCCUACCAUUUCAGUCAUGAUUGGAGGAAAGGUAGUGGAGAAAGCCUUGCUAGACUUGGGAGCAAGUGUGAAUUUGCUUCCAUAUUCUGUCUACAAGCAACUGGGACUUGGAGAGUUGAAGCCAACAGCAAUCACUUUGUCUCUGGCAGAUAGAUCAGUGAAAAUUCCAAGAGGGGUAAUUGAGGAUGUAUUGGUUCAAGUAGAUAAUUUCUACUAUCCUGUAGAUUUUGUUGUUCUUGAUACAGAUCCUACUGUAAAGGAAGCUAAUUUAGUUCCUAUCAUCCUUGGAAGGCCAUUUCUUGCAACUUCAAAUGCAAUCAUCAACUGUAGAAAUGGGCUUAUGCAACUCACUUUUGGUAACAUGACACUGGAUCUAAAUAUUUUCUAUAUGUCUAAAAAGCAAAUCACUCCAGAAGAAGAAGAGGGUCCAGAAGAGCUAUGUAUUAUUGAUACUUUGGUGGAGGAGCACUGCAAUCAACAUAUGCAAGAUAAGUUGAAUGAAAGUUUUGUGGAUAUUGAGGAAGGUUUUUCUGAAUCUCCUAAUGGGCUUGCUACUCUACAAAGUUGGAGAAAGAUAGAAGGAAUUCUACCUUUGUUCAAUGAAGAAGAGGAGGCAGCUGUUGAAAAAGAAAUUCCAAAACUCAAUCUGAAGCCUUUACCUAUGGAGCUGAAAUAUACAUAUCUUGAAGAAAAUAAUCAAUGUCCUGUCGUAAUAUCUUCAUCUCAAACCAAGUCUCAAGUGAAGGAUGCAAGCUUCAAAUGGGAUCCGGGCAAACUGAAUCAGGAAGGGCAAAAAGUUUUGAUGUAUGACACAAGACUCCAUAUCUUUCCUGGGAAGCUCAAGUCAAGGUGGAUUGGUCCAUUUGUUAUUCACCGAGUAUAUUCCAAUGGAGUGGUGGACUUAUUGAAUUCCAAUGGCAAGGACAGCUUUAGAGUCAAUGGAUAUCGUCUUAAGCCGUUCAUGGAGUCAUUCAAAUCAGAAAAGGAGGCAAUCAACCUCCUUGAACCUCAAAAAGCCUAAGUGAAAUGGGUUUGCUGGACGUGGUUUUACCACAGUCCAAAAAUUUUUGUAAAUUUUGUAAAUUUUCAAGUUGUUUCCAUGCUUUUAAUCUUAGUUUUUGAUUUUAAAUCAUGUUUUUAGGUGUGUUUUAAUCGUUUUAUAUGAUCCCAGGCGGAAGAAAUUUCAAGGGGAUUGAAAAGAAAAAAAUCGGGUCGAAAUUGGAGCCGAAACAGAGCAAAAACAGGGGAAAAACAGAGCUCUGCGAAAUUUCGCAGGGUGAAGGAAACUUCUGCGAAAUUGGCAUUUUGCUGCCAAACCAUUCCGCAGCACUGUAGAAGCCUCUGCGAGUGUAUUUCGCAAUUGCGAAAGUGGAUUUGGCACACGAGUGCCACUUCGCAGCACAGUGACAUCAAUUUCGCAGCUGCGAAACUCACUGCGAAGUUGCUGCGAAAAUGGCAAGUUGCUGCGAAAUUGGCGUUUUGUUGCGAAACGUAAUCUGACCCCUGGGCUUCCGUUUUUCCUAUUUAUACCUGUCAAAAGUGCUGCGAAAAAGGUUUCAAAAAUUAGAGCACCAUUCUCGCAGCCCUUUCAUCUUCUUCGCCAAGCCACGCCGUCCGUUUCUCCGGUCGUCUUCUCCGUUUAGCAGCGCCGGCCAAAGAUCGAUAGCCCAAAAAUGGCACGAACGCGAGGGGCAAAGUCUUCAUCCCCUUCGAACCGCAAAAGGAGUCUGCGAAAGGAGCCAAGUUCAGGCUCUGUUCCAGAACCUGCUCCAAAGCCUUCGCCGUCGAGACCACAACCUUCUCCAGUGAAGCCGGCGCCACCAAAGCCGCCGGCAAGGCGAUAUUUAACCAGGUCAGGUGGUCAGCCAUUGAAGAAGAAAGCCAGAGUUGAGAGCUCUGAACCAAUCGAUUUGACUGAGCAAUCCCCUGAGAAAUCACCAAAUCCUUCACCGGUACAAAUUCCAGUGCCAUCACCGGUUCCCUCGCCAAUUCCCUCACCAGAAGCAACUCCAAUUCCAUCGCCGGUACCAUCUCCGGCACCCCAAGAAAAAGCUCAGGAGCCUCAAGCGCCAAUUCCAGAGCCCCAAAUUGCAGCUGAAGCACCUCUGGAAGAAGUGAUCCGAAGGCCAAUGCUGCCUCAGCCCCCAAUCGAAGGAAACCUGGAUUGCCGAACUCGGGCAUUCCAUUCUGAGCUUUGCUUCGAUUUAACAGCAUUCAGAGUGAGGCCAGAGCUUGCCCAAUCCUUCCAACUGCUGAGGAGAUAUCAUAUGGAGCAUCUGCUAGCUCCAAGGGAUUUUUUCUAUCCCCGGGUAGUCACGGAUUUCUACCAAACCAUGACAACCAAAGAAGUAAGAAAUCCAACUCUGAUUCAUUUCAUAAUUGAUGGAAGGCAUGGUAUUUUGGGAGCAAGACAUAUUGCUGAAGCCCUGCAAAUUCCUUUUGAGCCAACUCAAUUCGACAAUUUUAAAGCUUGGACAAAUCCUACUGAGUUAGAGAUGGUUAGCACACUAACCAGAGGAGCUGCAAAUCGAUCGCAUUUGUUGAGGGGGGAGCUACCUCCAGUUAUGUUUUUGAUUGAUGCCUUUUUGAGGCAUAAUAUCUAUCCCCUGCAGCAUUGGACCCAAAGAAGGGGAAUUCUCCUAGAAGCCUUGUACAAAAUGUCUGAAGGAUUCUUCUUUGGGCCUCAUCAUCUGAUCAUGGCAGCCCUUCUAUACUUUGAGGAGAAGGUUCACAAGAAGAAGCUUCAAAGAGCAGAUUGCAUUCCACUCCUCUUCCCAAGGCUGCUAUGCCAAGUUUUGGAGCAUCUCGGAUACCCCUCUGAGCCUCAGCAGGAAAGAAAGAGAAUAUGCCGUGAGCCUUUUACCCUUGAUAAAUGGAAUAAUAUGACGGCCUACAAAAUUGAUCAGCCUGGGCAGCCUCAGCCAGCAGCAAGGAGAGUCUCCCCAAGACAUAUACCUGAAGGUAUAACACUUGCUACUCCUGCCAUCCCUCGAGCUCCACCAGCUGCACCUGCUCCAUCACAGCCAUCCACAUCAGCUGAGCCGAGGAUGGCCAUCCCUAUAUCCGAAUAUCGAGAGCUGUGCCGUGCAUUGGAGACUCUUACAGCUUCUCAGAGCAAUCUUGCUCAGGAGUUGGCAGCCAUUAAAGCAUGCCAGGAGCAGAUGUUAGCCUCUCAGACUCAACAAGCUGCCAUCCUAAGGCAGCUUCAAGUCCAUUUCGAUCUGCCACAAGCUGUAGAGCCCUCUAUUCCUACUCCACCAGAGCCACACUCUCAGCCUUCAGAGUCUCAUCCUCCAGAACCCGAAGCACCAGCUGAUCCACCUACUGAGGAGGCAGAUCCUUCUGCCUAGCACCAUCACCCCCCUCAUCAGACAUUAUAUAUAUAUUUGCUGUUUAUGUUUUUAUGCAUGUUUGUUUUGUUUUAGUUGAAAAGAAAUCCCAGUAUUUUGGUACUAUAUAUGGGAUUCCUUGUGUUACUUGUCUUUAGUAUUGUAAUCACAUGAACUCAAAGUAAUACAAGUUGACUAUUUCUUGUUAAAAGUUAGCAUUAAAGUUUCCUUAUUUCCUUUUCUCACAUAUUCUAUUCUUUUUGAAACAUGUGGUUUUCCCCAAUCAAUAUUCGAAUUUGAUAUCAGCAUGGAGGUACCACUUCCUCCCUUUUAUUACAGUCACUCAAAUCACAUUGAGGACAAUGCUCAGUUCGGUUGGGGGGUAUGAGGAAGGAAGUAUUCUAAACCUUUUUGGUAUUGCAAUUAUAUUGGUUAAUUAGUUGUAGAUUUUACUUUUUACUAGUGUUACUCUAUUCUCCAUGAAUUUUGAGGAAAAAUUUUCAAAUUAAACCAAGAGAAAUUGAACUGUUGUUUUUCACUUGACUUAGAGUAUGGAUUAUGCUUACUAAAGUGGUUCAAUUGUUGAAACUUCUACUGAAAUUGAAUUGAGUUCUUCCACUUUAAGCUAUCCACACACUGUGCACAUUAGUUUCCGAUUAUAAGAUGAAAAGCUAUUUCCCUCUUGACUUAGUAUAUUUUUGGGACUUGGUAUAUUUGACCUCAUUUGAUAAAAAUUGAAACACCCUGCAAAAGGCCAAUGAGCCUUUGAAAUAAAGAAAGUUGUUUGCUUGCCUUGAAACCCGAGCAAGGUCUGAGGGGUAUAUGGUGAAAAUCUUUAAAGCCUGGUGCCCUAAGCCUUAAUUGGUUGGGAGUCACCGACCUCAAUGCUCGUUACAAGGGUGAAUAGGUAGAGUUAGCAUAUGGUAGAUGCUUGGGUAUUAGAAAUUCAUUCUUAAAAGUCCGGGGAAAAAUCCGAGGAGUUAGUGGUUGAAAGAUCCUUAAAACUUGGUGCCCUAAACCUUAAUUGGUUGGGAGUCAUCGAUGGACCCCCAUUACAUGGACAAGUCAGAAAGAGUACCCCAUAAAGCUACCUUAAAAAAAAAAAAAAAAAAAAAAAAAAAAAAAAAGAUGAAAGUGUGUUCUUUUCUUAUUGAUUUUGGUCAGUUUGCUAAAGUGUUGAAAAGAGAUAGGUUGGGGGGUGAGAUUAGUAGCAUAUUAUUCUCGGAACCUAAGGAACCAAUACACAUAGAUUUUUGUGGAAGAUUGAAGUUUAGUUCUUAGAAAAUGAAAUGAUUUUAAAACUUCAGUUUGCAUAAUGCACUCCCUUGAUUGACAGUGUUUAGCAUAGGUGUUAUGACUCUUGUUGAGAUUUGGGUUUGUAUUUCUUUAAUGAUUCAUGUGAGAAAUAGAUCAUCAUGCCACUUGAGAAUUAUUUUCCUUUUAGCAUGAUGUUGUAAAUUUUAGAUUAGUUUGCUAUUUAUUUUUUAUUUUCUCUCCUAUAUUGCUAAGGGACUAGCAAUAUGUCGGUUGGGGGGAGUGAUUACUACUCAAAAAGUGCUAUUUGAUAGCCUUUAAUUAAUCCUUUUUAACACUUUUGAGUAGUAGUUUAGGCCUUUUAACUCAAUUGGCAUGUUAAGGAUCCUUUAAAGCAAUUUUGAUCACUUUGUGCAAGUUUUGGUGUUUUUGUUAGUAUUUUGAUCACCAAAGCAAGUCAAGAAUGAGGAGAACUAUGAGGAAUCAUGGGCAAAGCUUAGAAUUCAAUUGCCAAGAGUGAAUCCGGAUUGCAAGGAGAAAAAGCAAAGAGAAUCUGUCAUGAAGCCUAUUCUUGAUGACAGUCGUAGCAGCCACUUUUGGAGCACUUUCUGAAGUCCAAAUGAUGCAAGCUAUAUACCAUUUCAAAGCUCAGGAAGUCAACAAUCCAAUGCUUCAAACGGUGCGCGAUUCGGAGUUGAAACGAAGAAGUUGCAGCCAUUACAAGCCAGUCACUCUAAAGUGUUGCGGAAUCAGCCUUUUGUUGCGAGAAUUUCGCAGCACUUUUGUACAGUAAGGUGUUUCUCCUUCUGACGAUGCACGAACCAUGCCGCGAGAGGGAAGCUAGGAACUUCAAGAUGGAAGCCAACUUUGCAGCCUGGUGAAGAUAGCUUGGUCUUGCGAAAUAAUUUCGCAGCCCUCUUGGGUGUCUGCGAAAUUUCGCAGGCACCACUUUUUUCCUGCGAAAUGGCUCCGGAAGCCUCCCGAAGCUUGCUACCGACAUUGGGAGAUAUUUUCCAUUAGAUUUUUGUUGUCUAAAUUCCAAAAUACUCCUUGUAAACCACCAAUUACAUGAUUCCUUAGUUUUUAAGUUAGUAAAAAGACCAAAUAUCUAUGUAAUAAUUAGUUUUAUAUUAGUUUGCUAUAAAUACCUCUCGGGAGCAUGUUCUCAGAGAGGAGUUCCUUCUGUAACCAUUUUGGUAAGCAAGUAAAGUCUUUUCUUUCUACUGCCUUACCUUCUCACUUUGUAUUUUCAUUUUAUUUCUAAGUUAUGAAUUCUCUGAGGAGCUUUCCCCAGAGAAUGAGUAACUAAACCUCCAAUUCCUUGGAGCUAAGGUUGCCGGGGAAGGUUCCAAGUGCAAGAAUGCAAAGCUCUGUGGUUUUAGCUAGUAAUGAAGAGGAAGUGAAAUCCUUUAGUGAUUUCAAUGUUUUUAGUUAACUUAAAACACCUUGGAGUCACCUGGGCCAACACUUGGUAAGGCAAGUGAUUUCCAACCGUGGAAAUGCACUAGUUUACCCCUUGCGAGCCUCUGGUAGGUGACUUCAAGGUAGGAUUUUCUGGAAUUACCAACACUUGGUAAGCUUUUGGACUCCUAGGAGACAUCCAUUAGUUAUCUCUUGCGAGUUUGUGAAGGGGAAUCCAAGGUUAAAGAUCACCUUGAAUGGUAAGUGCUCGUGAGAGGCAUGAACCAUUGCAAGUUGUAUCAGUGAGAGAAUUAAAGUGAAAUCUAAUUGAAGGAGUCUCUGUACAUCACCGGUUAGAGAAUUGACUAUAAGUUGAAUCUCUAAUGCGAGGAAAUGAACCAUCUGACCGGAGCUAUGUCUUUUGCAUGAGGAACCACCCCAGUGAACCUAAAUCUCCAAGGAAUGCUUUUCUUCCUAAAUUAUUCCAAACUUCUGUUAAGUUAGUUAGUUUAAGUCUAAACCUUUACCAAUCAAACUUUGUGUUUUAUUCCUUAAGCUAACCGUGAAAUGAAACAAAACCAAUUCACUUGGAAUUGGUAUCCUUGAUUGCUUGCAAAUCAUUCCCAGUGAACGAUCCUUAGAGCCACUAUACUAUAGUAGCUUUGUAUUUGCUACCCUAGUGUAUGGUGUUAUAGGUAUAAAUUUUGUUGAUCACUUCCUCAAUCAAGGAACACCAGCUGAACACAAAUCAGCUGAGACACCAAUUGGGCAUGAGUCAGUGCGUUAGAGGAUCAAGAAGAAGAAAAAGAAGGAACUGUUGGAAUUAGUAUGAGUGUGAAGAGAAAAGUAUAUAAAUAAGGGGAAGUAAAAGCAAAGUUCAAAAAGCUAUAUUUUUUUAUUGUUGGUGUAUGGUUGCAUGAUUAUCCCUAUAAAUAAUAGGAGUUUUUUGGUAUUCUACUAGUAGUUGAAGCAUAAUUUCAUAAAUUAAUAUUUAGAGCGGGGUGGGGUGAGUUGUGACAAAAUUCAUACCCGUCCCAAACCUUGGUUCAGAUUUUUAAAAUAUUCUCAAACUUAUCAUAUACCCAACUUUUAUAUUUCAUACUUGUCCUAAUAGAGGCACGUUAGGCCGGGUUACUUGAGUAACCUACAUAAUUGUCAUCCCUAGUUGAAAUACACUUUUUGGCAGUGGCCACCAACUGAGCUAGAAGCUUGAUUGAUUGACCUACAAGAUUAGUUCUCAUCAUUUUAAAAAAAGUUCUGGCUUUGGUUGUGAGUGCAAUUGAAUCUAAACUGGCAUUUGCUUAAUGCAUCUACUUCAAUCCUAAACUUCUUACUUCUUAAGCCUCAAUUGUUGUUAGGAUUUUGGAAAACCCAUUUCCUUAAAUUGUAAAUUUAAGAUAAAAUAAAAUAAAAGUGAGACAUUUCUUGAUUGAAUAUUGUUAAAGGUCCCUUGGCAUUAAGACUUGGUUGAAGCCUUGGAAGAUUAGUGGAACUCUCAACAUGUGUUUGAAUCUUGAGGAGAGUGGAUGUAAGCCAAAAUUUUGUCAAACCAUUAUACAAAUUGAGUUUGAAUCCUCAUUUCUUGAUUUCUUAUUUAUUUGCUUUUUCUUAUUAUUACUUGAAUUGUCAUUUGCAUUCAUUAAUGUUAAAAUUGGUUAUAAUUAACCAACACUAAUUCUCUUUCCCCUUCCCUUUCUUGGGUGUAAACCUAGGUUGGAUUAACUAGAUAAAUCUAUUAAGAUGGUAAAAGAAUAAUUAUUCUUAACAUACAUAAGAUCAUCUUCAAUCAAAUGACUCAUUGGCUAAUAUGUUGAAUUUGCUUAUUACUUGCAACUCAAAAUUGUGUUCUAGUUGUGUCAAGUCCCCAGUGUAUGGACAUUAAAUUUGUAGUACGUGAUGAGUAAUUAGAUGGUCCAACUCCAAGAAAGUGAUUGAAAAGUAGUUCAAGAAAGGUGCAAAAGGGAAUUGUUUUGGUAUUUUCGUUUUUAUUCUUGAAGGUGGCAGAGCUAAAAUUUGAGAAAUCAAGCAAAACAUACUGAAAUUACAUUGAAAGAAAGAAGAUGGGAGUUAAUGUCUUGCAGUACAUGAUAAGGACUUCAUGCAUGUAGUGUGACCCAUGUCUUGGACUGAUGCCAACUCACGGUUACACUUAUACCCUUGGUUCUCUCUUUACUACCUUGGCUAACCUAGAUCAGGCUAUGAGAUAGGCUCCUCACCACACCAUUACUUGCCCAUUAAUUAGAGACAUUUUCAAGCAAUGAGGUAACAUGGUGACACCAAGAGGGUCUAUUCCUCGCCCGGAACAAGUCUAGACUUGGUCUCAAAAAAAUGGAGAAAAAUGAGGUGUCGUUAUGUAGAAAUACAACAACCAUGCCUUCCUCAUUACUUAGAUUCAGAAUGUGAAGGUGAAAUUGAGAAACAGAAACUCUUGAAACCAAAAUGAAAAUUGAUACUUUUACGAAGAAUUACAACAACAUUAGAGGAAGACUACAUUCUUCCUCUUUAUUCCUACAUUUCUACACUACUUCUACUCCACUCCAUAUUUCUACAUACAUCUUUAAUCAGUCUUCCCUCCUUUAUAUAGAGCCAUCUUCACACAAAUUUCGCAAGGUAGAAAAGAGGAAUGAAACUUGGAGCAAGGUUCGACUACUGGUUGUAGCUUGUCAAGGCUGGAAGUGAACUUUUCUUGGCUUUCUGGGCAUGGGUAGUAACUUGUGGGUUCCUGUUUGGCAUAAAAAUGGCUAGAACAUGUGGCACUAUCUUGUUGGAUGAUGUGUCAAGCAUGUGGCAGCCAUCUAGUGGCGAUUAUGUCAAUUUUGGGAUGGAGAGUUGGCAUCCAAUUGCAAAGAAAUAUGACGUCUACCAACAUGCAAUGUAAACCUAUGUAGAUCAUAUGAAGAUAGAGAGGAAAAAUAUAGAAAUGGAUAUAUACCUAGAACUAGCUUUUUAUUAAAUGAAACGGAGAGACAACAAUGAAGGAAAAUAAAAUUUUUUGGCUUAUAUCAAAGAGUUCACAUUGUGUUACCCUAGGUUUUCUUAAAACUUACUUUUAUGAUAACAAAAAAGAAAAAACCAUUAUUGUUUAAUCCUUUGUUUUAAACGCAUGUAAGGUGUAAUUAAGUUAGUUCAAUGCAUUAAUUUAAGAAACUUGACCUAUCAAAAGUACAAAAUUAGAUGAAAUCCAUUUCAAUGGUUAAAAUGAUCAAAAUCAAACUUUUUCUAAGUAUUUUUUAAAAGCAUCAAUAGUGAAAGACAAUUUUAUAUUUAGUCGGAGUUUGGACAAAACUGAAAAACACACAAAAUCCAAGCGACCAUCUCUAGCUUGGAUGGUCGCUUGAUCCCACCUAGAGAUGUGCAUGAGUAAAAGGAUUUGAAAAUGGAAAUUGACUAUGUAGUCGAUCAAUUAACUUUGCAACAUCAUAUGCAAUCCUAAUUGCUAGUCAUCUAAUCAAUUAGGUAGUCAAUCAACAGGCCAAAAAUAUGUUUAUAAUGACUAUUUUGUACAAAAACCACCUGUAUAGUUAAAUAUAAUGCAUUUCAUUUAUAAAUCUUCUAAUUCUUGAAUAACGAUCCUAUCAUCCUUUGAAAGUUUUUAUUACACUUUUUUUACUUUUGUUCUAAAACUUACACAUCACCCUUAAUUGUACCAUGAGAACCUAGCUAUUUUUUAUUUUUUUUUUUGUAAUUCAUCAAAGUUAGCUUUUGUAUUCAUUGUUGUAUUAUUUUUAGUAUAACUUAGAAAGCUAGUGUUUUCAAGUGAGUAAAAUUAACUUGUAAAUAUUGUAAAGAUUCAUCGACAUGUAUCUUAAACUAAGUGUACAAGUUAAAACAUUUGCUAGUAGAUUUUCUCAAAAUUUAGAAUAGAGCUUGAGACUAUUGAAAUAGGUGGGGUUGCACCAAACCACAUCACAUCGUUGUUUGCACCUUUUUUCACUCUCUUUUACUUAGUUGCUCUAUAUUUGUUGUCUAGUAAUAUCCUAUAGGCUUGAUGGGUUAGGGAGCAUCCCUUUGUGAAAAAAUUUUAUUCAAUCCUUAGUUGUAUCACGCAUAUAUAAAAUGCCUCAUUGUUUUAAUGGUAUUCAGUCGUGGCAUCACAGAUAUGGGCAUCUAAAUUUUAAAAGUUUGAAACUUUUAUCUAAAGAAAAUAUGGUGCUUUGCCUUUUUGUAAAGCAUGUUGAUGAAAUCCAUGAGAAUUGUGUACUUGGGAAGCAACACCGAGAUGACUUUUUUUUUUUUUUUAUAAUAUUGUUUGUCCAAAUUCCCUACAAAUUAGGCCACCAGAUGUUCAUAAUUCUCCCUUCUUGAAUUUGAAAACUCGGACAAUUGGACAAUGCGACACCUAAGUCCGGUUUCUAAAUGCUAAAGUGAAAGGGUAGGUAUGGACCAUUGAAAUGUGAUCACAACUUUUCUCUGUAGCCAUGUUGUCUCUUUUUUCUUUUGCAUGAUUUUCUUACCUUAACAGAAUCAUAGACUUGUUUAGUCUCUAAAUGGGAUUAAUUUCAUCCAGCUUUAAGCUACUAUAUUAUAUCUAGGUGGAGGACUUUUAAGAGUGCAACCGACAUAGAGCACAUGGAAGUGGGUAUAUGGGACAUGAAAUUUCUUCUUAUAAAGAUUGCAUGAUUUUUAUAUUAGAGUUGUUGAGGCGCUAUGUAUUUAGCUUGUUUUGCAGUUAAAUUAAUUGGAUAAGUAGACAUUGGCGUUUCUAAAUCUACUGUGAAGUGCUUCAUGUACGUGUGAAGUAUUAGAAAUUUCUUUCUUGGCAACUUGUUUUUCUUUGCGGUCUACUGAUAGGUUUGACUAAAAUUAUAUUCCCUGUCAUGCUAAUUAAUUUUCACGUGCAUGCUCAAAAGAAAAGUAUGACCUUAGUGCACCAAAAUCACUUUGAUUAAUUUGUGAUAGGUUUUUGUGCAUCAUGACAUUAGCCUUAUUCAUUUAGAUAAUGUUUAGUUUUUAGAAAGUAUUAAGAAAAGGAAAAUAAAUAUUAAGAAAAAUAUUCUUAUAUUUGAUUGUAUUAUGAAAAAUAUCAUAAAAAAAUCAAAUAUAAUUUAAAUUAAUUAAUAAUUUAUACAUUUUCAAAUUAUUUAAUCUUUAUAUUGAAGAUAUAAUAUAAAUGAAAUGAGUUUUAAGUAUUAUAUAAAAGUGAUUUAUUGAUCUUACAUAUAUAUAUUUCUUUUUUUUUUCCUUCUAUUUUUUCUCUUUAUUUUAUUUUCCUUAUGUUUUCCUCAACAUUUUCCGGAACCAAACAUAGCCUUAGGAAAUCCACAAUUACCUUCAACUGAGUAGAUUCUGUUGUUUUAGCAAUGUUAGGCUGCUAACUUGUGUUGGUACGAACCUAUUAAGCCUAAAGAUGUAAUUAGUUAGGAUAUUCUUUUCCCUCUAGUCUUGUAGCUCCACGUGUACAGUUGGUUAGGACCUCAUUGUAUAUAAUGCUUGCCCUGUUAUUGUAGAAGACAACAAAGAUAAAUAAUAUUAACAUUUUUCCUCUCAUCUCUCUCUGUUUCCCUCUGUUUUCAUCUCCUCUCUCAUCUUGGUAUCAGAGCCUCCAUGGCUUCUUUCAAAGAAACCUCCGAAUCACCUUCUGCUAGCAUUGUUAAUGUGCAAAACCCAUUAUCUCAAUCAAACAACCUUCCUUCACCAGUAGCCACACCCUCUUUUUCUUUCUCGUCUAUGAAUCAACCUCUCACAGUGAAGCUGGAUAAUGGGAACUACCUCAUAUGGAAGAAUUAGCUUCUAAAUGUCAUCAUUGCUAACGGACUCGAUGAUUUCAUUGACGGAUCUCGACCCUGCCCUCCUCGAUUUCUCGAUCUGCAACAACAAACCCUCAAUCCAGAGUACUCAGCUUGGCAGAGAUACAAUCGACUUCUGAUGAGUUGGCUGUACGCAUCCUUGUCCAAAGAUAUAAUGGCUCAGAUUGUUGGGUAUUCAACAGCUAUGGAGAUUUGGAAUGCCCUUAAUCAGAUUUACUCUGCCUCUUCUAUGGCGCGGUUUACUGAGCUUCGCACCAAGCUUCAAACGCUCAAGAAAGAUGGACUCUCAGUUGGUGAAUAUAUUCAAAGGCUCAAAUCCAUUUGCAAUAGUCUUGCAGCAAUAGGAGAACCAGUUUCUGAGAAAGACCAUCUUAUCUAUUUGUUCAAUGGAUUAGAUUGUGAGUAUUAUUCUUUUGUUACCUCCAUUCAAAAUCGAUCUGACCAACCAACUAUUGACAAAAUCCAUAGCCUAUUGCUUAGCUAUGACUUCCGGCUUGAACAACAAAACUCUGUUUCUCUCCAUUCUGCCCAAGUCCAUAUGGCUCAUCUGAACAAGAAACCUUAUAAAUCAACUCCUCAACCUACAUUCAAUCAUAUUCACAUUCAACCUAGAUACUCUUCUCCACCUUUUAAGCCAACCACUAGUCAAUAUCAACCCAACAUUUUGGGCAAACCACAACCACAACCAUGACAGCCUCAACCUCAAUGGAAACCACAUUUUUCAAUCUAAAAUCAAAAGCCUCAGCGCCAAAUUUGUGGUAAAUUUGGACACACUGCUCUUAUUUGCUUCCAUCACACAAAUUUGAACUAUUCACCCCAACCUUCUCCUAAAUCUUUCAAUACUGUUCUCACCACAAAUUCCCAGCUCCCUAAUCCUCCAAAAUUUUCUUACCCUACAAUGGCUCAUCCUGCUGCUACGCAUAACACGGUUCCCGAUACAAAUUGGUACAUGGACUCAGGUGCUACACAUCACUUUACUCUGGACAUCAACGUGCUUGACACUGUGACACCAUUUAGUGGUUCAGAACAGGUGACAGUUGGGAAUGGUAAGCAACUCUGUAUCUCACAUCUUGGUACUGCAAAACUACCAUCUUCGUAUUCUCCUCCUGUUCUACAUCAGGUAUAUCACACUCCAAAAAUUUCAAAUAAUCUUAUUAGUGUUAAAAAAUUGUGUUCUGAUAAUAAAGUUUUUGUUGAAUUUUAUGCCACUCAUUUUCUUGUCAAGGAUCAGGUUUCGAAGAGAGUUCUCCUUUAGGGUCAACUUGAUAAUGGCUUAUACAAAGUUCAGUCGUCAUGCUCUCCUUCUGCUGUUUCCUUUCCUCCUCAAGUUUUCAUAGCCAACAUCAAGUAUCCAAAUCUGUGGCACAAGAGACUAGGCCACCCAGCUUUAUCUGUUGUUAAUCAAAUCUUGGAUUCUUGUAACAUUGCUCGAACACAGAAAAUUUGUUUUAAUUUUUUAAAUUCUUGUCAAUUAGCAAAGAGCCACAGGCUUCCUUUUUCUCUGUCUCCAUCCAUUGCAGAAAAACCUUUUGAGUUAAUUCAUACAGACCUAUGGGGUCUUUCGCUCGUUCGCUCUAUUUCUGGUGCUCUUUAUUUUUUACUUUUCAUUGAUGAUCAUACUCGUUUUACUUGGUUUUAUUUGCUCAAAACAAAAGAUGAAGCAUAUCCUACUUUUCUCAAGUUUCAAGCUCUCAUUGAAAAUCAAUUUAAUACCAAGAUUAAGGCUGUCCAAUCUGAUUGGGGAGGUGAGUUUCGAUCUCUCUCCAUACCGUUUUCAAAUAUGGGCAUUGUCUAUUGUUUAUCGUGUCCAUACACCUCACAACAGAAUGGGCGAGUUGAGCGAAAAAAUCGCCAUGCGAUUGUCCUUUCUUGCUUGCUCUAUGCCCUUAUCUUAUUGGCCUUAUGCCUUUCAAACUGCCACUUACCUUAUUAAUCGUCUCUCUACCCCUGUGCUGCAUCAUCAAUCCUCUUACUUCGCACUCUAUCACAAACUCCCAACUUAUACUCAUCUUAAGGUCUUUGGUUCCUCUUGUUUUCCGUAUUUGCACCCUUAUAAUACCCAUAAACUCCAAUACAGGUCACUAGAGUGUGCUUUUCUUGGUUACAGUUCACACCACAAAGGUUAUCUAUGUCUUGACAUUCAUUCUAGCAGGGUGUAUAUUUCUCGCCAUGUGAUUUUUAAUGAAGAUUCUUUUCCAUUCAAGAAUUUGAAAUCUUCUCUCUCUCAGUCUAUUUCUUCUUCCUCUUCUUUAUAAGUUCCUCUGUUCAUUCUCUUGCCUCCCCUUUCCCCAUCUCCUCUUAUUUCUUCAUCUAUACCUCAUUCUUUUCCCUCUUCUUCUUCUACCUCUAGUACUUGUUCCCCUCUCGUUGCUCCUACCUCUCUUCCUUCCUCUUCACACUCUGUGUCUCCAUCUAUUCCACCUCCUUCUCCACCUUCUCCGAGUGUGGACCUGCUUGCACCUUGUGUGAAUACAAAUUUACAUACUUCUUCUCGCACUCACAAUAUUCAUCCUAUGGUGACUAGAUCUAAGGUUUGUAUCUAUAAACCUAAGUUGUUGUUGAGUGUCUCCAUAGGUUCUCUCACUAAGCCUACUUCCUUUCUUCAAGCUAUUAAAGAUCCUUCAUGGAAGCAAUCCAUGGAAUUCGAGUUUGCUACCCUUCAACACAACAAGACCUGGCAUUUGGUUCCUUCACCUUCCUCAGGCGAAGUAAUCGGUUGUAAAUGGGUCUAUAAGCUAAAGCUUCAGCCUGAUGGCUAAAUUGAGAGAUACAGCCUGCUUAGUAGCUAAGGGUAUCAUCAAAUUGAAGUAUGGACUACUUCGAAACAUUCAGCCUGAUNNNNNNNNNNNNNNNNNNNNNNNNNNNNNNNNNNNNNNNNNNNNNNNNNNNNNNNNNNNNNNNNNNNNNNNNNNNNNNNNNNNNNNNNNNNNNNNNNNNNAGCUUCAGCCUGAUGGCUAAAUUGAGAGAUACAAGGCCUGCUUAGUAGCUAAGGGUUAUCAUCAAAUUGAAGGUAUUGACUACUUCGAAACAUUCAGCCUGAUUGUCAAGCUUUCUACUAUCUGUAUUGUGCUCAGUCUUACUUUUUCCCAGAAUUGGUGUAUUAGACAGCUGGAUGUUCAUAAUGCCUUCUUACAUGGUGACUUAGCUAAAGACGUUUUCAUGGAACAACUGCCUGGAUUUGUUGAUCCUCUCUAUCCUACUCAUGUCUGCAAGUUGGAUAAGUCUCUCUACUGUCUUAAAUAGUCACCUCGGGCUUGGUAUACUAAGCUGAGUACUUCUCGCUACACUUGGGAUUUGUUACUUCUAAGAAUGACUCUUCCUUAUUUAUUUGUCAUUCGUCUCAUGGGUUACUUCUUGUUCUUGUCUAUGUGGAUGAUAUAAUCGUCAUUGGGAGCCACUCUCCUCAGGUUACUCACCUUAUCCAACAGUUGCAUCAUUAGCUUUCUUUAAAGGAUCUUGGUCCUUUACAUUAUUUUCUGGGCUUGGAGGUUCAUCACACCCCUACUGGUAUUCACCUCAGCCAAGCAAAGUAUAUCACUGAUCUCCUUACCCGGGCGGCUAUGUUGGAUGCCAAGCCAUGUCCCACUCCUAUGUCCUCCAACACAUAUCUCUCUUUUCAUGAUGGAGUGGCUCUUGAAAAUGGUUCAGAUUAUCGAAGUUUUGUUGGUGCCCUUUAGUAUUGUACCAUGACACGCCCAGAUAUAGCUUUUGCAAUAAAUAAAGUGUGUCAAUUCAUGCACCAUCCCUCUAAUGUUCACUGGCAGGCUAUAAAACGUAUUCUCCGGUACUUAAAGGGCACAUCUCAUUUUGGUCUCUUCCUACAGCCUUCCUAUGACUUCAACAUCACUUGCUAUACAAAUGCCGACUGGGCUUCCUGUCCUGAUGACAAGUGUAGCACCAGUGGCUACUGCCUCUUUCUUGCCUCUAAUCUGGUUUCUUGGUCAUCUUCCAAACAAAAAGUGGUCUCCCGCUCCAGCGCCGAAUCAGAGUACCGAGGGGUAGCAAAUGGGGCUGCUGAAAUUGCUUGGACUGAAUCUCUUCUUUGUGAACUUUCCAUUACUCCCCCUCCCCUCAUUCUCUGUGACAAUAUCAGUGCCACGUACUUAGCUGCCAAUCCUAUUUUGCAUGCCCGCACCAAACAUGUGGAAAUCGACUAUCACUUUGUCACGGAACGUGUUCUUCAAUGCUCUCUUUUUGUCCAGUUUACACCUUCUGAUGAUCAACUUGCUGAUUGCAUGACCAAGCCUCUCUCCACCCAACGUUUCAUCACUCUACGCUCCAAGCUCACUGUUCUCACUAGACCAAUGAGCUUGAGGGGGGAUGUUAAGCCUAAAGAUGUAAUUAGUUAGGAUAUUCUUUUCCCUCUAGUCUUGUAGCUCCACGUGUACAGUUGGUUAGGACCUCAUUGUAUAUAAUGCCUGCCCUGUUAUUGUAGAAGACAACAGAGAUAAAUAAUAUUAACAUUUUUCCUCUCAUCUCUCUCUCUGUUUCCCUCUGUUUUCAUCUCCUCUCUCAUCUGAACCAAAUGAUCCAUGUUAACCUUGGCUUGGUUUGAUUUGGCUCUAUCUUAGAGAGCUCAAGGAUCACGUCAACUCUGGUUUCUACUAUUCAGGUCCAUUCCCAUAUGAACUGGUUCAAAUUUGAGAAAAUGGUAACAGACCUUUAGUGAUGUUGGUUUGGAGCCAGUUGCCAAACCCGCCCUGAGCUUUACCACUAAUGUCAAGGGAGAAAGCCAUUUGAACAAAAACAAUAGCUUCAAGGGACUGAAUCGUGGAUGAAAUCUGAUCCACAUUUCUUCUCAUUUUGGAAACAAAUGAGAACUUAACUAAGAAGAUUCUACGGCCUCAUAGUGCUUUUCCUGAUCUAAGGUUGGUUCGUUUCCCAAACUGUGAGAUGCACGUGCCAGACUUCAGAACUCUCACGCUCAGGAGUGUAUCCACGUGGUGGACAUAAGAUGGUGGCUUAAGAUCUGGUGUCGGUGGCUUUACUUUACUAGGAGAGUAGUGUGUCUUCAUCUCAUUCACUGCCGGAGGGUGGCGUAAGCAGUGACGCUAAGGUGGGGCACAGUCAAUAUCAUUUGCAUUUGACCAUUAUAGUUUUCUCCCGGCUUUAAAGUAACCUUAUCGUGAUAAAGGAUUACUAGCACUAGUUCAGAUGAUAGUCAUGUUAAAUUCGGACCAUGUUUGUGUCACAUUAUCAGCAACCAUGUGUUUAUGGUUCAUGCUUUCUGCAACUAAAAUUGAUAUAUAACCAGGUGAACUUCAAUCUAAAUUCUGAAAGUACUCAUGUGAUAGAUGGUGCCCGUCUGCAGAGUCCAUCAAUUGAAAAAUGGAGUGAGUGUAUCUAUAAGAGGGAAGGCUUGGAAAAUGUUCAGUUUUCUGGGAAUUCAACAAGGAUCUAAAAUAGAUUGUUUUCUUUGCUGAUUUCAAUGGUUGAAAUUUGAGAAGAUUGUGUCCACAUAACACAACUAUUACUGGUCCUUCUGUUGCAAUUUAUCCUCUAAAGCUCUAGCAUGUCUUCCAAUUCCCACUUCCCUGUUACUCCAGGAAAGCUAUUUCUGUCAUUGUGAAGAAGAAAAGAGAAUGUACAUAUCGAUGCUUUUAAGUGACUGGAGCAUUUAUAUCAGGUGGUCUGCAGCCAUAUAUGCCACUUUGUGAAGAUUGGAACAGUCAAUCACUAGGCUAUAUAUUAGUGUGGCCCAGCCACUUUAAUCAAGGACAAGUCUUCAUACUUAAAGUCAAAUUCUGCCUUUAGUCUCAUUAUAAAUUUCUGUUUAAAUAUUAAGCAAACAUUUGUUUAAUGCGAUUAAGACAGUACUAACUCAAUACCUGUUCUAUUUUUGGAUGCAAAUGCUUGAUGGUUUCAUCAUUGGAUGGGAUAAAGGUGCAUUCAUGAUUAGGAAUACUAGUAGUUAUAUUUUAAUUCUCUUUUUUCUCAAUGAGACUUGUUGGCACAAUUUUGCUGUUGAGAAACCUACCUCUCCAUGGAAAAUAAGUUGUGAUUGAUAGUACUGGAUAUAUUCAAGAAAUCUAAAUAUAGAUAGCACAAAAUAUUAUCGACAUAAAUAGCAUUAACAGCGUACGUAUGUCUCAGUGCUCAUCAGCUAUAAGCAUGGGGCAAACACUUACUAUGAGCAACUUACGUCAAAAUUCCAGAAUAGGACAUAGAAGUGACAGAUAUAGAACAUUGCAUAUGAGUCACAAGAAAGGAAAUUACGGGUGCAUAGCAGCUCUUAUUUUACAUACUACUACUCAUACUGAUCAAAGUCACUCAGUUGGGAUGGGUGGGAGUAGGAGGUUUGUGGGGUGGCUUGUGCGGAGGAGUUGGCAGCUUCUUUCCAGGACCUGGUUGCUUCUCUGCUGGAGUUGAAGGAGGCUUAAUCUUCCGAGGUGGCUUGUAUGAGUCUUCAGCAUUCUCAGCUGGAGGGUGACCAGGGUUGUGACCAUAAUGUGGUGGCUUCUCUCCCUUAGGUGGUUUGCCAACUGGGGUUGGUGGCUUGUAUGAGUCUUCAGCAUUCUCAGCAGGAGGGUGACCAGGGUUGUGACCAUAAUGUGGUGGCUUCUCUCCCUUAGGUGGUUUGCCAACUGGGGUUGGUGGCUUGUGUUCUGGGAGUGGCUUCUCCCCCUUGGGAGGUUUUUCCAAUGGGGUUGGUUUGUGUUCAGGAGGUGGCUUCUCCACUGGAGGCUUGUGUUCAGGAGGUGGCUUCUCCACCGGAGGCUUGUGUUCAGGUGGUGGCUUCUCCACCGGAGGCUUAUGCUCUGGUGGUGGCUUCUCGAAUGGGGGAUGCUUAGGAUAAUCAGCAAGUGAGGGGGCGGUGAGAACCACCAGGCCAAGCAACACCACUAGCAAAUAUGUAGGAGACAUCUUUGGGUUUGGGCUCAGAUGGUGCAAAACUAGGAGAAUUGGCUAGCCUUUUAUAGCGGAUCGUACCCAAUAAUGAAAUGACACGUGUCAUUAUGACCCAUGUGUAAUGGGGUCGAUUUGGGUCCUACAGUGUUGAAAACUUCGACAUCCACUUUUGGCCUUUUGCUUUCUCUACAGCCGCCUUGCUUUUUCCCUCUUUCCUUUUGUUUUCCUCCUGCCCCAUUCUAUCAACUAAACACAAUUAUGUAGUUGUUUAAUUCUUAAAUGAGAUAUUAUCCGUCAAUCGUAUUAUAUUUUAUCAAGAGAGAACGGAGUGCAAUGUGGCUGUAAUUUUAUCGUUUAGUUUUAUCUCUUGGACCACUGCAUUUUUGUUAAGAGGUGCAAUAAUACACGUCUUUAUCUGCCAUUCAAUAUUUACAGUAAAGAGAGGGCACAAAACUCUUCACUUCGCACCAUAAUUAUUUUGUUUUCUGGACACCCCGGGGCCCUUUGGUUGGUUUGGGGGUCAGAAAGUGAACAUCAUAGGGGGUUUUUCCCUUAUGUGCAUUUGUAUCUGAUGGCUUUAACUCGCCUUGUUACUACAAAGAAACUGUCACAGAUAGGAACUUAUUCCAGGCUGAGUAUCUCCUCAUAGACCCUAUAAAAGAAGACAAGUCAUAAUGAACAUCUAACCUUUGUUCAAUUUGAUUCAAUGCCCCCAUUGUGUCCAUCUCACAAAUCUGAAUUAUUAUAUCCAUUGAAUACAUAAAUUAAUGAAGAAAAUAUGAAACCCAAGAUACAUCUCUGCACAACCUCAACCCUGGUUGCUAUGUUUCCCUUCUAUUCACAUGAUUUGAUGCUAAUUGCCAAACUUGCAACAAGCCCUGAGUUUGACACCUAGUAUCGAUGGGCGAAUUUAAAGUCUCCUCCAAACAUAUAUUCCACAGCUUGAAGCUCACAGAAGAUGUUACAGGCAGGGAAAAACCUUCAGAGUUCGCUACCAAAGAUAAUUAUUAAGGAGAUAUCACAAAGAGAAUUCCAAGGGGUCUGAAUCAAAGACAAAUUGGUCGUUCGUGGGGGUUCUUACUUUCUUUUGGGUAUAACUCACUGAGGGCACUGUCUUUGUUAUUUGCAUUUCACAUUUAGAGUUCUGUUCUGGAAACAUAUAAAAGGAGCAUCAUUUUGUUCUUGGGUAACCCAUAGUCGUGAGUGGGUCCAUUUGCAUGCUACUUAGUUGAAAAGUUGGACCAUUUGCUCCGACGCCUACCUCCCGGAUUCCAUGCUCGGAUAAAACAAGAAUAAAAAAAAUAUUUAUAAUUUACAAAUGGGGGAAAGAAAAAAAUGUCAACAACAAACCAGGAAAAAAGAGUAGUAAAAUUCAUGUCACAUGCUAGUGAGAGAAGGGGUUGUUACACUCACUCGAAGUUCUUUCCAAAAUAUCGCAUGGUAUUUUAUUUUAUGUGUCAGCGCAGUUGUGAAUGGAACGUGCAAAAGUCCAAAUUGGCGUUUUUCCUUUUCCCGUGUAGGAUGGCGACCUUUAAUAAAUAUUUAAAACAAAAAACGAAAAAAAGGAGGGAAAAGGGAUCAGAAAAGAUAAAACAAUGUGUACAAGAGCUCAAUUAGUUUGCAAAUUACUGUUUGGAUUUUGAUAGUAUUUUAUUUGUCCAUCUAUAUUUGAUGGAAAAGAGAAUUUAAGAUAUUUCUGAAACAAAAGCAUUAGUGUAAAACUAAAUUAAGGUAUAAUUAAGUUAGUUCAAUGCAUUAAUUUAAGAAACUUGAUCUAUCCAAAGUACAAAAUUAGAUGAAAUCCAUUUCAAUGGUUAAAAUGAUCAAAAUCAAACUUUUUCUAAGUAUUUUUUAAAAGCAUCAAUAUUAAAAGACAAUUUUAUAUUUAGUCGGAGUUUGGACAAAACCAAAAAGCACACAAAAUCCAAGCGACCAUCUCUAGCUUGGAUAGUCACUUGAUCCCACCUAGAGAUGUGCAUGAGUAAAAGGAUUUGAAAAUGGAAAUUGACUAAAUAUUUAGUUGAUCAAUUAAAUUUGCAAUGUCAUAUGCAAUCCUAAUAGCUAGUCAUCUAAUCAAUUAGGUAGUCAAUCAAGUGUUUGUAAUGACUAUUUUGUACAAAAAACCACAUGUAUAGUUAAAUAUAAUGCAUUUCAUUUAUAAAUCUUCUAAUUCUUGAAUAACGAUCCUAUCAUCCUUUGAAAAUUUUUAUUACACCUUUUUUACUUUUGUUCUAAAACUUACAUAUCACCCUUAAUUGUACCAUGAGAACCUAGCUAUUUUUUUUUUUUUUGUAAUUCAUCAAAGUUAGCUUUUGUAUUCAUUGUUGUAUUAUUUUUAGUAUAACUUAGAAAGCUAGUGUUUUCAAGUGAGUAAAAUUAACUUGUAAAUAUUGUAAAGAUUCAUUGAUAUGUAUCUUAAACUAAGUGUACAAAUUAAAACAUUUGCUAGUAGAUUUUCUCAAAAUUUAGAAUAGAGCUUGAGGCUAUUGAAAUAGGUGGGGUUACACCAAACCACAUCACAUCGUUGUUUGCACCUUUUUUCACUCUCUUUUACUUAGUUUCUCUAUAUUUGUUGUCUAGUAAUAUCCUAUAGGCUUGAUGGGUUAGGGAGCAUCCCUUUGUGAAAAAAUUUCAUUCAAUUCUUAGUUGUAUUACGCAUAUAUAAAAUGCCUCAUUGUUUUAAUGGUAUUCAGUCGUGGCAUCACAGAUAUGGGCAUCUAAAUUUUAAAAGUUUGAAACUUUUGUAAAGCAUGUUGAUAAAAUCCAUGAGAGUUGUGUACUUGGGAAGCAACAUCGAGGUGACUUUAUUUUUUUUUCCUUUUAUAAUGCCACACCUAAGUCCGGUUUCUAAAUGCUAAAGUGAAAGGGUAGGUAUGGACCAUUGAAAUGUGAUCACAACUUUUGGCCUUUUCCUUUCUCUGCAGCCAUGUUGUCUCUUUUUUCUUUUGCAUGAUUUUCUUACCAAAACAGAAUCAUAGACUUGUUUAGUCUCUAAGCUACUAUAUUAUAUCUCGGUGGACUUUUAAGAGUGCAACCGACAUAGAGCACAUGCAAGUGGGCAUAUGGGACAUGAAAUUUCUUCUUACAAAGAUUGCAUGAUUUUUAUAUUAGAGUUGUUCACGUGCAAUGUAUUUAGCUUGUUUUGCAGUUAAAUUAAUUGGAUAAGUAAACAUUGGCAUUUCUAAAUCGACUGUGAAGUGCUUCAUGUACGUGUAAAGUAUUAGAAAUUUCUUUCUUGGCAACUUGUUUUUUCCUUGCCAUCUACUGGUAGGUUUGACUAAAAUUAUAUUCCCUGUCAUGCUAAUUAAUUUUCAUGUGCAUGCUCAAAAGAAGAGUAUGACCUUAGUGCACCAAAAUCACUUUGAUUAAUUUGUGAUAGGUUUUUUUGCAUCAUUUAGAUAAUGUUUAGUUCUAAGAAAAAUUUAUAUAAAAAUGGUUUAUUUAUCUUACAUAUAUAUAUAUAUAUAUAUAUUUUUUUUUUUUUCAUUUUUUUUUCUUCUAUUUUAUUUAUUUAUUUUAUUUUCCUUAUGUUUUCCUCACAUUUUCCGGAACUAAACAUAGUCUUACGAAAUCAACAAUUGCCUUCAACUGAGUAGAUUCUGUUGUUUUAGCAAUGUUAGGCUGCUAACUUGUGGUGGUACGAACCAAAUGACCCAUGUUAAUCUUGGCUUGGUUUGAUUUGGCUCUAUCUCAGAGAGCUAAAGGAUCACGUCAACUCUGGUUUCUACUAUUCAGGUCCAUUCCCAGAUGAACUGGUUCAAAUUUGAGAAAAUGGUAACAGACCUUUAGUGAUGUUGGUUUGGAGCCAGUUGCCAAACCCGCCCUGAGCUUUACCACUAAUGUCAAGGGAGAAAGCCAUUUGAACAAAAACAAUAGCUUCAAGAGACUGAAUCGUGGAUGAAAUCUGAUCCACAUUUCUUCUCAUUUUGGGAAAAAAUGAGAACUUAACUACAAAGAUUCUACUGCCUCAUUCAUAGUGCUUUUCCUGAUCCAAGGUUGGUUCGUUUCCCAAAUUGUGAGGUGCACGUGCCACUCUCACGCUCAGGAGUGUAUCCACGUGGUGGACAUCAGAUGGUGGCUUAAUAUCUGGUGUCGGUGGCUUUACUUUACUAGGAGAGUAGUGUGUCUUCAUCUCAUUCACUGCCGGAGGGUGGCGUAAGCAGUGACGCUAAGGUGGGGCACAGUCAAUAUCAUUUGCAUUUGACCAUUAUAGUUUUCUCCCGGCUUGAAAGUAACCUUAUCGUGAUAAAGGAUUACUAGCACUAGUUCAGAUGACCGUCAUGUUAAUUCGGACCAUGUUUGUGUCACAUUAUCAGCAACCAUGUGUUUAUGGUUCAUGCUAUCUGCAACUAAACUUGAUAUAUAACCAGGUGAACUUCAAUCAAAAUUCUGGAAGUACUCUUGUGAUAGAUGGUGCCUGUCUGCAGAGUCCAUCAAUUGAAAAAUGGAGUGAGUGUAUCUAUAAGAGGGAAGGCUUGGCAAAUGUUCAGUUUUCUGGGAAUUCAACAAGGAUCUAAAAUAGAUUGUUUUCUUUGCCGACUUCAAUGGUUGAAAUUUGAGAAGAUUGUGUCCACAUAUCACAACUAUUACUGGUCCUUCUGUUGCAAUUUAUCCUGUAAGGCUCUAACAUGUCUUCCAAUUCCCACUUCCCUGUUACUCCAGGAAAGCUAUUUCUGUCAUUGUGAAGAAGAAAAGAGAAUGUACAUAUCGAUGCUUUUAAGUGACUGGAGCAUUCAUAUCAGGUGGUCUGCAGCCAUAUAUGCCACUUUGUGAAGGUUGGAACAGUCAAUCACUAGGCUAUAUAUUGGUGUGGCCCAGCCACUUCAAUCAAGGACAAGUCUUCAUACUUAAAGUCAAAUUCUGCCUUUAGUCUCAUUAUAAAUUGCUGUUUAAAUAUUAAGCAAACUUUUGUUUAAUGCGAUUAAGACAGUACUAACUCAAUACUUGUUCUAUUUUUGGAUGCAAAUGCUUGAUGGUUUCAUCAUUGGAUGGGAUAAAGGUGCAUUCAUGAUUAUGAAUACUUGUAGUUAUAUUUUCAUUCUCUUUUUUCUCAAUGAGACUUGUUGGCACAAUGUUGCUGUUCAGAAACCUACCUCUCCAUGGAAAAUAAGUUGCGAUUGAUAGUACUGGAUAUGUUCAAGAAAGCUAAAUAUAGAUAGCACAAAAUAUUAUCGAUAUAAAUAGCAUUAACAGCGUACGUAUGUCUCAAUGCUCAUCAGCUAUAAGCAUGGGACAAACACUUACUAUGAGCAACUUACGUCAAAAUUCCAGAAUAGGACAUAGAAGUGACAGAUCUAUAUAUAUAGAACACUGCAUAUGAGUCACAAGAAAGGAAAUUACGGGUGCAUAGCAGCUCUUAUUUUACAUACUACUACUCAUACUGAUCAAAGUCACUCAGUUGGGAUGGGUGGGAGUAGGAGGUUUGUGGGGUGGCUUGUGCGGAGGAGUUGGCAGCUUCUUUCCAGGACCUGGUUGCUUCUCUGCUGGAGUUGAAGGAGGCUUAAUCUUCCGAGGUGGCUUGUAUGAGUCUUCAGCAUUCUCAGCUGGAGGGUGACCAGGGUUGUGACCAUAAUGUGGUGGCUUCUCUCCCUUAGGUGGUUUGCCAACUGGGGUUGGUGGCUUGUAUGAGUCUUCAGCAUUCUCAGCAGGAGGGUGACCAGGGUUGUGACCAUAAUGUGGUGGCUUCUCUCCCUUAGGUGGUUUGCCAACUGGGGUUGGUGGCUUGUGUUCUGGGAGUGGCUUCUCCCCCUUGGGAGGUUUUUCCAAUGGGGUUGGUUUGUGUUCAGGAGGUGGCUUCUCCACUGGAGGCUUGUGUUCAGGAGGUGGCUUCUCCACCGGUGGCUUGUGUUCAGGAGGUGGCUUCUCCACCGGAGGCUUAUGCUCUGGUGGUGGCUUCUCCACCGGAGGCUUAUGCUCUGGUGGUGGCUUCUUGAAUGGGGGAUGCUGAGGGUAAUCAGCAAGUGAGGGGGCGGUGAGAACCACCAGGCCAAGCAACACCACUAGCAAAUAUGUAGGAGACAUCUUUGGGUUUGGGCUCAGAUGGUGCAAAACUAGGAGAAUUGGCUAGCCUUUUAUAGCGGAUCGUACUCAAUAAUGAAAUGACACGUGUCAUUAUGACCCAUGUGUAAUGGGGUCGAUUUGGGUCCUACAGUGUUGAAAACUUCGACAUCCAGUUUUGGCCUUUUGCUUUCUCUACAGCCGCCUUGCUUUUUCCCUCUUUCCUUUUGUUUUCCUCCUGCCCCAUUCUAUCAACUAAACACAAUUAUGUAGUUGUUUAAUUCUUAAAUGAGAUAUUAUCGGUCAAUCGUAUUAUAUUUUAUCAAGAGAGAACGGAGUGCAAUGCAGCUGUAAUUUUAUCGUUUACUUUUAUCUCUUGGACCACUGCAUUUUUGUUAAGAGGUGCAAUAAUACACGUCUUUAUCUGCCAUUCAAUGUUUACAGUAAAGAGAGGGCACAAAACUCUUCACUGCUCUGCAUGUGUCCCAAAAAUGCGAUUGGACAAAUUAUGAUUUGCAUGCUAAAAAGAGGCAAAUGAGGUUAAUUCGCACCAUAAUUAUUUGGUUUUCUGGACACCAUAAAAAGAUGUUAUACAGGCAGGGAAAAACCUUCAGAGUUAGCUACCAAAGAUAAUUAUCAAGCAGAUAUCACCAAGAGAAUUCCAUAGAGUCUGAAUCAAAGACAGAUUGCUCGCUCGUGGGGGUUCUUACUUUCUUUUGGGUAUAACUCACUGAGGUCACUGUCUUUUUUAUUUGCAUUUCACAGUUAGAGUUCUGCUCUGGAAGGUUUGUUCUGGAAACAUAUAAAAGGAGCAUCAUUUUGUUCUUGGGUAACCCAUAGUCGUGAGUGGGUCCAUUUGCAUGCUACUUAGUUGAAAAGUUGGACAAUUUGCUCCGACGCCUACCUCCUGGAUUCCAUGCUCGGUAAAACAAGAAUAAAAAAAAAUAUAUAAUUUACAAAUGGGGGAAAGAAAAAAUGUCGGAAAAAAUAGUAAAAUUCAUGUCACAUGCUAGUGAGAGAAGGGGUUGUUACACUCACUCGAAGUUCUUUUCAAAAUAUCGAAUGGUAUUUUACUUUAUGUGUCAGCGCAGUUGUGAAUGGAACGUGCAAAAGUCCAAAUUGGCGUUUUUAUUUUUCCCAUGUAGGAUGGUGACCUUUAAUAAAUAUUUAAAACAAAAGACGAAAAAAAAAAGGAGGGAAAAGGGAUCACAAAAGAUAAAAUAAUGUUUACAAAAGCUCAAUUAGUUUGCAAAUUACUGUUUGGAUUUUGAUAGUAUUUUAUUUGUCGUUCUAUAUUUGAUGUAAAAGAGAAUUUAAGAUAUUUCCGAAGCAAAAGCAUUAGUUUGCUCUGUGAUGUCCCACAUCGAAUAGGGGAGAAAGUUUCUGGCGCUAUAUAUGUAGAGGCUCCUCUUAACCAAGUAGAUGCGUUUUAAAACCAUGAGGGCCCCCUUAGGUCCAAAGCGGACAAUAUCUACAUGAUUGGGUGUAAGUCAUUACAAAUGGUAUCAGAGCCGAUCCCCGACCCCGGUGUGGGGGUUUGUUUGGCCCUGUAAGGGGUGUUUGUCUGUUUGACCCCACAAUCCCAUGGGACACAACGAGGACGUUGUGUCUGCAUGGGGGGGCGUUUGUGAUGUCCCACAUCGGAUAGGGGAGAAAGUUCCUAGUGCUAUAUAUGUAGAUGUUUCUCUUAACCAAGUAGAUGCAUUUUAAAAUUGUGAGGGCCUCUUUGGGCCCAAAGCGGACAAUAUCUACAUGGUUGAGUGUAAGUCAUUACAUGCUCCAUGUCAAUUUCAGCAUUUCUCAUAUGUUUCACACAUACACAGAAGAGCAUCGUUUUUUAAAGCAUGCAUUUAUGUUGGAUUAAUUUGGAUUUUGUGGGAACUGGGGCAAGGAUCACAUGGAAGAGAGGUUGACUUUUUUCAGUACUUCAAUGGUUGAAAUAUGUGAAGGCUUGAUUGAUACUAAAGCUUGAAAUUGCGACUCUGUCAUUUGUAAAAAAAUAUGACAGCUUCCAUGCUCUCGUUUGGUUGCAUUGUCCGGUCGAGAGGUGCAAAAAGCAUUCUCUCUCUUCUAAUAGUCUUUUCGUUUAAAUCAAGGGAUUUGCCUUCCCGGUCGAGGUCCAAUAGAGGGUAACGGUCACCUACUAAACAUUAAAUGCUCCAACAACUAGUGAACUGAUCGACCCCAGCUCGACUAGUUGAGGUUACUUUUUGGUUUUCUUGUCUCCCGAGGUUAGAAACCUAUAAAUAGAGAGCUUCACUUCAUUUAUGAGUAAGAGAACACCUAAAUUUAUUUGUUUACCUACUUGUUUUUGCCAUAAAAGCUCUCAUUUCUUUUCUUGGUGUAUUAAAUCUCCAUUUGCAUAUCCUUUAGUGCACCUUUGUGAUUCAUUCUAGCCUUGAGUUGUAUUUAAGCCUUUGUUGAGCUAGGUUGAGAGUUUCAUACUUGUUUAUUGAGUGUUAAAGCCUUCAAGUGAGUUAAAACUUGAAGAGAUUGUGUAAGAGCCCAUUGGAGUCGGAAUCCAAGUGUAAAGGUGAUUAAAAGCUUGGUUGAAGCUUCAAGUUAGUGGAACUCUCACUCGGUUAUGAGCUUGAGAAGAGUGGACAUAGACAAGGCAGUGUCGAACCACUAUAAAAUCUGAGUUUGAUUUCUCUAACCUUAUCUCUUUAUAUUUGCUUCUCUUGUGCUUAAAUUUUUUGUGUUUAAAAAGAAUUUUUAAAAACUCAAUUCACCCCCUUCUUGGGAGUUUUUCUCUUUUAAGAUCAGCUUUUAUUUUCUCAAUUGGUAUCAGAACUAUGCCUCUUGUUUAAGACUUAAUCGUCUAAGAGGAAAUGGCUAAUCCAUCAAGUUCAUCUCACAUUGAAAGUUUUGCAACCAAUAGACUUCUUUUUUUUUUUUUGCGGGAACUGAUUAUCCCUAUUGGAAAACUAAAAUGACUUGGUUUUUACAAUCAAUUGAUUUAGAUGUAUGAGAUGCCAUUGAAGAUGACCUAACUUUUCCUUCAAAACUAGUUGAUGGAGUCAUGGUUCCAAAACCUAAGCAAGAAUGGGAUGAGCGUGAUUGAAGAAAUUUUCAAUUAAAUGCUAAAGUCGUUUAUACUUUGCAAUGCUCUAUGGACAGAAAUGAAUAUAAUAGAAUAUGUCAAUGCAAAUCGGUUAAAGAAAUUUGGAGAUUGCUUGAAAUAACUCAUAAAGGAACAAAUCAAGUUAAAGAGUCAAAAAUCAAUUUACUUGUUCAUAGAUAUGAAUUGUUUUUUAUGAAAGAUAAUGAAACUAUUGUUAAGAUGAUCACUAGGUUCACCAACAUUGUUAAUGGUCUUAAAGCCUUGGGAAAGACCUACAAGGAAUCCGAAAACGUGAUGAAGAUCUUGAGGUCACUUCCAUCAAAGUGGCAUACCAAGGUCACCGCAAUUUAAGAAGCAAAAGACUUGAUCAAGCUACCUUUGGAGGAGUUCAUAGGGUCAUUGAUGACAUAUGAAAUCAAUUUGGCAAAGAAGUAACAAAAAGGUGAAGACAAAAAGAAGAAGAACAUAACUCUCAAAGCUACAACUAAGGAAGAAGAAGUUGAAGAAGAAAAACAAAUUGAAGAAGAUGAAGAUUUAGCCCUCAUCACAAGAAAGUUCAACAAAUUCAUGAGGGGUGAAAGGUUUAGAAGAAGAAGGUUCACUUCUAGAAGAGACUUUUCUAAAAAGGAAUCUUCAUCUAAUGGUGACAAAAAGAGAUGGGAAGAGAAAAGAGACUUGGUGUGUUUCAAGUGCAAGAAACCGGGACACAUUAAAUAUGAUUGUCCUCUCUACAAAAGUGAAGUCAAGAGGAAAAAGAAUAAGGCAAUGAUGGCCACUUAGAGUGAAAGUGAAGAUGAAUCAUCCGAAGAAGAAAAUGAGAAAGAAGUGGCAAACAUGUGUUUCAUGGCAAUAGAUGAACUUGAUGAGGUAAAAUCUAACCUUAGUGAUUAAGAUAUACAUGAUGCAUUUGAAGAAUUGUAUGAGGAUUUUUAAAAACUUAGUUUGAAAAAUAUUUCUCUUAAAAAGAAAGUUCAACAACUUGACAAAGAACUUAGAGAAGUAAAAGAAAAAUUUUCAAAUGUUAAAGUUUCUAAAACUCAUCUUGAAAAAGAAAAUGAGAUUCUAAGAAAGAAAAAUGAAUAGUUGAACUCCUCUCUUUCAAUCUUUUCUUCUAGACAAAAAUCUUUUGAAAUGAUUCUAACUAGCUAAAAAUGUGUUUUUGACAAACAAGGGUUAAGAUUUAAAUCUUCAAAAAAUCAAAAGUAUUUUAAAAACUAUUUUGUAAAGGAAUCCACAAGUGCAAGUCCUUCCACUACUUGCAACUUUUGUGGAAGAGAAUGGCACAUUAGUAGUACGCCCUUUAAGAAAUGGUUCUCAAAAGAAUUUAAAUGCAAAAACUAAAAAAGAUUUGGAUUGAGAAAUCCAAGGUCACUAACCCUCAAGGACCCAAAAAGAUAUAGGUACCUAAAUCAACUUGAGUUUUAUGUUGUAAGGUUCAAAGAAUGAUAAGUGGUUCUUAGAUAAUGGUUGCUCAAGACACAUGACCGGAGAUGAAUCCAAGUUUGCUUUUCUUAAAAAGAAAAAUGGAGGAUAUGUUACCUUUGGAGACAAUGCAAAAGAAAGGAUGAUUGGUCAAGGCAACAUUGGUAAUGGCACAUCCUCUCUCAUUGAAAGUGUUUUAUUAGUAGAUGGUUUCAAACAUAACCUUUUAAGCAUUAGUCAAUUUUGCGACAAAGGUUUUUAAGUGAUUUUUUAAGCAUCUCAUUGCAUCAUCAAGGAUAUUCAAAAUGAUAAAACCAUUUUCAUGGGCCAUAGAUGUGAUAAUGUUUAUGCUAUAAAUAUUUCAAAAUAUGAUGGCCAUGAUAGAUGUUUUUCAAGCAUGCAUGAUCAAAGUUGGUUGUGCCAUAGGAGAUUGAGACAUGCUAACAUAGACCUCAUUUCCCAACUCAACAAAGAUGAACUUGUUAGAGGCCUUCCCAAAAUAAUUUUUUAAAAAGAUAAAGUUUGUGAAGCUUGUCAAGUGGGAAAGUAAAUCAAAAACUCUUUUAAAAACAAAAACUUCAUUUCCACAUCUAGGCCACUUGAGUUGUUGCAUAUGGAUUUAUUUGGUCCCUCUAGGACACCAAGUCUUAGAGGAAAUUCUUAUGCAUAUGCUAUUGUGGACGACUUCUCUAGAUACACAUGAGUCUUGUUUUUUAGUCAAAAGAAUAAAGUUUUUUAUGAGUUUUCAAAGUUUUGCAAUAAGAUUCAAAAUGAAAAAGGUUUUUCAAUUACUUAUAUAAGAAGUGAUCAUGGGAGAGAAUUCGAAAAUAUUGAUUUUGAAGAGUAUUGCAAUGAGCAUGGAAUUGACCACAAUUUUUUGGCUCUUAGAACUCCUCAACAAAAUGGGGUAGUUGAAAGGAAAAAUAGAACUCUUCAAAAAAUGACAAGAACCAUACUAAAUGAAAACAACUUACCAAAAUAUUUUUAGGCCAAAACGGUUAACACUUCUUGUUAUGUUUUAAAUAGAGUAUUAUUGAGGCUCAUACUUAAGAAAACUCCCUAUGAGCUUUGGAAAAACAAAAAACCCAACAUUAGUUAUUCCAAAGUCUUUGGAUGCAAUAUUUUAUAAUAAACACCAAAGACAAUCUUGGAAAAUUUGAUGCAAAAUUGGAUGUUGGAAUUUUCCUUGGUUACUCAACUUCAAGUAAAGCUUUUCGAGUUUUAACAAAAGAACCAUGGUUGUAGAGGAGUCCAUCCAUGUUAUUUUUUAUGAAUCUCCAAGAAAGAGAGAGGAUUGAUGAUGAUUUAGGUUUGAAGACCUCUAUAGGAAGAUUGCAAAUCGAAGAUAGAAGACAACAAGAAGAAAAUGGAGAGAAUCCAAAGAAAGAAGGAUCACCAUUGGCACUACCCCCUCAUCAACAAGCGCAAGGUGAAUCAAGUCAAGAGCUUCCUAAAGAAUGGAAGUUUGUCAUCAAUCACCCACAAGAUCAAAUUAUAGGCAAUCCAUCUAGUGGGGUAAGAACUAGAUCCUCUCUUAGAAAUAUUUGCAAUAAUCUAGCUUUUAUCUCUCAAAUUGAGCCUAAAAAUAUAAAUGAUGUUUUAGAUGAUGAAAAUUGGAUAAUUGCAAUGCAAGAAGAGUUAAAUCCAUUUGAAAGAAGUGGAGUAUGGGAAUUAGUACCAAGACCUUCAAAUCAAAGUGUUAUUGGAACUAGAUGGAUCUUUAGAAAUAAAAUGGAUGAAAAUAGCAUAAUUGUUAGAAAUAAAGCAAGAUUGGUAGCCCAAGGUUUUAAUCAAGAAGAAAUGAUAGAUUAUGAAGAAACCUUUGCCCCCGUAGCUAGGUUGGAAGCCAUUAGGAUGCUACUUGCCUUUGCAUGUUUUAAAGACUUUGUUUUAUAUCAAAUGGAUGUGAAAAGUGCUUUUUUAAAUGGUUUUAUAAAUGAAGAAGUAUAUGUUGAACAACCACCCGGUUUUCAAAGUUUCAACUUUCCUAACCAUGUUUUUAAACUUAAAAAGACACUUUAUGGUUUGAAACAAGCACCUAGAUCAUGGUAUGAAAAAUUGAGUAAAUUUCUUUUGAAAAAAAUGUUUUAAAAUGGGAAAAAUUGACACAACUCUUUUUAUAAAAACCAAAGAAAAUGAUAUGCUCUUAGUUCAAAUAUAUAUUGAUGAUAUCAUUUUUGGUGCUACUAAUGUCUCUCUUUAUGAAGAAUUUUCUAAGUGCAUGCAUAGUGAGUUUGAAAUGAGCAUGAUAGGAGAACUCAACUUCUUCCUUGGACUUCAAAUCAAGCAACUAAAGGAAUGAACCUUCAUCAAUCAAGCAAAGUAUAUAAGAGAUCUUCUCAAAAGGUUCAACAUGGAAGAAGCCAAAACAAUGAAGACUCUAAUGAGCUCAUCCAUUAAGCUUGAUAAGGAUGAGAAAGGUAAAUCCAUUGACUCUAUUAUGUAUAGAGGCAUGAUAGGUUCUUUGCUCUAUUUGACCACUAGUAGACCUUACAUUAUGUAUAGUGUGUGUUUGUGUACUAGAUUUCAAUCUUGUCUUAAAAAAUCUCACUUAAGUGUCGUGAAAAGAAUCCUCAAAUAUUUGAAAGGGACAAUGGACAUAGGCUUAUGGUAUCCUAAGAGUGAUAACUUUGAAUUAAUUGGUUUUUUGGAUGCUGAUUUUGUCAGUUGUAGGGUUGAAAAAUAAAACACUAGUGGCACUUUUCAUUUCUUAAGACACUUACUUGUCUCAUGGCAUAAUAAGAAGCAAAAUUUGGUAGCUUUGUCAACAGCAGAAGCUAAAUACAUAGCAACUGGUUUAUGUUGUGCACAAAUCCUUUGGAUGAAAUAAACACUUAGUGAUUUUGAUUUAUCUUUUGAGCAUAUUCCUAUUAAAUGUGAUAAUAGUAGUGCCAUAAGUAUAUCAAAAAAUCUCGUGCAACACUCUAGGACUAAGCAUAUAGAGAUUAGACAUAAUUUUCUUAGAUAUCAUACACAAAAGGAUGAUAUAACACUUGAAUUUGUAAGCAUAAAAGACCAACUUGCCGAUAUCUUUACAAAACCUCUAAGAACAUUUUGUUGAUAUUAGAGGACAAUUAGGAGUGAUUUCUUUAUGAUCUAAUGUGAUGAAUUCUUGAUGAAUAUACUUUUUGAUUGCAUGAAUUUCAUGUCAUAUAUGCAUCAUAUAGAAAUAUACUUAGAUAAUGGUCAAAUUUCGACCAAAAAUCAAAAUUCCCAUGGCAUUAGGCAUAAAAAUUUUGGAAUUUCAACUGAAAAUGGUAGGAGGAGGAUCACAAAAUGAGAAAGUAUGCAAAAAUUGAAAAAUCAAAACGUUGACCAAGCGGUCAAUCGGACUAGACCGAUCGACUAGUUUGUCGAGAUUUAGGAUUUUUAAGAGACUCCAACGCUUCAAUUUUUGCACCGUUCUCCUCUAUUUCUUCACGGUUUCUCUGAUUUUGUCUUUUAGAGACUAAUUUGAGUGCGUUUUGGAUCAAUUGAAGCAUUUUGGAUUGGAUUUUAGGAAGAUUGAAAGUUAAGGUUUCGGAUUUGGGUCGCCUUCUCUUCCUCUCGCGUGUCACAAUCAGCUUUAGCAUUGUUCUCUUUCCAUUUUCACACACCUAGGGUUUCAGUUGUGAGCAUCUCUCUCUCUUUACCAACCACUACUCCCUUGCUUCUUCCAUAUGGCUCCUAGGCGAGAGUCCGCUACUUCUAGGGCACAAGGCAAGCACCCAACUGAGUCGUCUCAGUCAAAGGCACGUCGAAAAGUGAGAUUUGACAUUGCCUUGUUCAGUUCCAUGGAGGACUACCAACUAUACAAGCAACACUUUGCUUAGAGACGAGUAGUUCCCAAGAGAAAUAUUAAUUUUCCUCAACUUCAGCAUUUCGAAUUUAAGGGUCUAUUUACUAGGAUGGUUGGUUGUCUAUUGUCACAAUUUCGGAGCCGGUUUUCCUGACCUUAGUGCGAGUUUUUUACUCGAGGGCGACUUAUGGCAUGGGUGGCAUGAUCAUUUCUACUGUUGGAGGAGUUGAGAUCUGUCUGGACCCAGAGAGCAUCUGCCAUAUUUUCGAUAUUGCUCUGGUUGGACUCAAAGUAUACAAGUCCAAAAUGUGGCCCAUUGUGCCAGGAUUUGAGCUUAGAGAGGUCAUUCAGAGGAUUUGUGAACUUCCAGACGCCCAGGAGAUGGGCAAACCAUUGCCACACAGUUUGACGGUCAUCAACAGGGUGCUACACCAUAUAUUGUGCUCUAUCUUUCUACCACGAAGUGGACAUUGAGAUGAGGUCUCUUAUUAUGAGGCAUUCCUUAUUGACUCCAUUCUAACGGAGAGACGAAUUCAUCUACUAUGUCAUCAUUCACUAAGCCUCCUCACAGUGACAUACCACCUCAUCAGGCACCUCUUGCUCCUGACCAUGCUCCAUUGAUGGAUUUAUUUACUCAUAUUAGCUCUCUAGGCACUCGCAUGAAGGAGUUUGUUGUAGUUAGUGAUACAUGGUUCUACUCCAUAGAGGAUCGCAUGGAUCAGUAUCAGACUGGCUUCACGUCACAGUUUGAGUAUCUCCAAUAGAGGAUUGAGCAUAUUGAGGAUCACUUGAGCAUGAGAAGAUGAUGGCUUUUCUAUGCUCUGUGUUUCCACCUCCACCUCGUCAACCUUGAUUUCUUAGAGACCCAUUGUUUUCAUUUUGUAAUGUUGCCAAAAGGGGGAGAUAUUUAGGAUCUAGGACUCUAUAGGAGACUUACAUGCAUAUCAUUUUCAUAUCAUUGUUUGGAUCGUACAUAUUGGAUAGUGAUACUUUUUACUUAUAUAUGAUAUGCCUAUAUGUUUCAUGUCUUACAUUGUUUCUUAUUGCAAAUUAUCUCUAACAUGUCUUGAUUAUCUUUUUUUUAACUUCAUAAAUUUUGAUUGUUAACCCAUGAUUGGUUUGAGGGGAAGAUUCUUCUUCUCCUAGAUAACCAAGGUUUGUCAUCAUAAAAAAAUUGGAGAUUGUUAGCCCAAGGGUUCUCCUAAUCAUGUUUUGAUGAUAACAAACCAUGCUUAAGUUACUAAUUGGUUUGAAUUAUAAAGAAUUUCAAGUGUUAAUUUGAAAAUUCAUCAAAGAACCUAAUGGAUGCAAGAUCAAGAUUUUUGGAAGACCUUUAAUCAUAAGAAACAUAUGUAAGAUGAAUGCAUGGGUGCACUUAAGAUUUGCAUAUCAUUUCAUGCAUAUUUGGAAAACACGGUUUAUGCUUUAAAGUUACAUUUCCAUCAAAAUUUGAGAUCCAUCAAAUGAACCUUAGGAAAAAUGUUUUAAAAUUGGCAUAUAAUUUUACCUAAAGACCUUGCCUAAGUGUUAGAAGCAAAAGGACAAAAAAAAUAUAGGUUUUCUGGUCAAAAAUGGUGAACCAGUCAAGGCAUUGUCUAAAUCAGCUCAAUCGGCCAAGGUACCGGUCGAUCGGUUUCCCUUUCCCUGUCGAGAUCUAGUCAAGAGGUACAAAAAUCACAAUCUCUGUCUCUUUCUCUCUUUGUCUAUCUUCCAGUAGUCUUUCCUUCCCGGUCGAGGGAUUUGCCUUCCCGAUUGAGGUCCGAUUGAGAGUAAUAGUCACUUGCCAAAUAUUAAAUGCUCCAACAGUUAGUGAACUGGUCGACCCCCACCUUGCCCAGUUGAGGUUACUUUUUGGUUUUCUUGGCUCCCGAUGUUAGAAACCUAUAAAUAGAGAGUUCCACUUCAUUUAUGAGCAAGAGAACACUUGCAUUUAUUUGUUUACCUACUUGUUCUUGCCUUAAAAGCUCUCAUUUCUUUUCUUGGUGCAUUAAAUCUCCAUUUUGAUAUCCUUUAGUGCACCUUUGUGAUUCAUCUUAGCCUUGAGUUGUAUUUGAGCCCUUUUUUUAGCUAGGUUGAGAGUUUCAUACUUGUUAAUUGAGUGUUAAAGCCUUCAAGUGAGUUGAAACUUGUAGAGAUUAUGUGAGAGUCGAUUGGAGCCGAAAUCCAAGUGUAAAGGUGAUUAGAAGCUUGGUUGAAGCUUCAAGUUAGUGGAAUCCUCACUCAAUUAGGAGCUUGAGGAGAGUGGACGUAGCCAAGGAAGUGUCGAACCACUAUAAAAUUUGAGUUUGAUUUCUCUAACAUUGUCUCUUUAUAUUUGUUUAUCUUGUGCUUAAAUUUAUUGUGUUUAAAAAGAAUUUUUAAAUACCCAAUUCACCCCCCUCUUGGGUGUUUUUCUCUUUUAAAAUUAGCCUUUAUUUUCUCACAAACUAUUGUAGUAUAGUGGUUUUUAGGUGUCAUCCAUUAGGAUGAAUUGUUCUCGGUAAUUAAGGCGUGAAUGAGAGGAGAAUUAAUGAUUGUGAUUAAGUAAAAUUGAUUUGAAAAUUCAUGGUGAAAAAUCAAUUUAACAAUGGUUUCUAAUUGAGAAAAACAAUGAAAUGUGAAAUAAAAUAAAAUUAAUAGGAAAUGAAAUUCUCGAAGUUAGAAUUUUCUAAAAAACAAAUUCCAUGGUGAAUGGAUGUUGAGAUCUAAUUUUCAUCAAGUUAGAUUGAAAACCGAAAUUUUCAUAUAAACUGAUUUUUUAUUUAGUUUUAGGUCUAGAUUUAAUUUCCCUUAAAAUUAGGUUAUUUAAUCCAAGAAAUCAAUUCAAAUCAUAUAUUCAAUUCAUCUUAAAUUAUCUUCCAAUUAUUCACACAAUGCAACUAUUCAAUCUCAUCAAAUCUAGCUUUUAAGAAUUUAAUGAAUCUACCUAGUUUGCAUUGUAAUAGUCAUCCAUGACAAUUUGAAGAGAAAAAUAAUUCAAUUAAUCAAUCACUUGGAUCAAAUUACCUUUGCAAUUAAAGUUCAUUUCUCUAAUUCACCACAGAUUUUGUCUCUAGAUCCUCCUUUCUCAAAGAAAAAUGAGAUUUAGCCACACAUGAUUGGAGAUUUGGUCUCAUAAGGCAUGUUUAGCUAGUGAUAAAAUGAGAGAAAAUAAAGAAAAAUAGAGAAUUCGAUUAAGAAAGAAAAUCUAAAAAAUUCUACAAUUAGAAAUGUCCAAAAAGCUUUUUCAUGAGAAAAUCAAGUUUCUAUUUAUAGGCCAAGGUCAAGUGGACACUUGACAUCAUCUAAGAGGUCUUCCGGAAGCUUCUUCAUCAAGAAAUCUGGAGUUUAAUAAUAAAAUGGUCAUUUCACAAGAGCUCAAACAAUUUCGCAUGAUUAUGUGAAAUAAAAAAUGCAACAACAGCAAUUUACAUCUUCUUGGAGCAUUUCGCAUGACUGUGUGAAAUUUUCACAUGAUCAUGUGGAAUCGACUUGACAACUCUCAUUUAGCCUACAACAUAAUUCCACCUUUUGGUCCAUUUUUCAUAGUCAUGCGAAAUGGAAAUAUUUGAUUUUUAAGUUUUCUUUUGUCAUUUCUUUCAUUUCCUUCUCUUGAUUCCACUUCAACUACCUCCGAAUCCUGGUCCAAACCAAUUGCAUUACUUCUUUCAUUAUGCAUUUGGAUCAUCAUCAACAUUAUUUGUUCUCUUCAAUUUGAUUCAUCUCUUUUGUCACCAAUUUAUCAAAAUCAUACCUUGAAAUGACUCCAAAACUUCAUAAAACUUGUUAGUAACUCUUGCAAGGGCAACAACAUAUUAAUUAAGUGUUUUAGGCAUAGUUACUACUCAAAAGAUGCGAAACUCAUGAUAAUUAUUAUAUAAAAUAUGCUCUUUUUGAGUAGUAAUCAACUUUCUUGCAUAAGCAGACCUUUUAGGGUGGAGUACUAAAGACCAAUAUGCUUGUCCUUGUUGUAAUAAAGAAACUUGCUCUUAUUGAUUGCACCAUGGGAGAAAAUUUUGCUACAUGAGUUAUCAUCAAUUUCUUCCCACCAAUCAUAGAUUUAGACGUGACAAGAGGCCUCUUAAUGGCAAGGAGGAACUGACACUCACACUUAUACAAUUAUCGGGCAUUGAUGUGUUGCAACAAUUAGAAUAACUUACACCAAUUAUGUUGGGGAAGUCACAAAAGGCAAACAUGAAAACUAAAAGGAAAAAAGAAAAAUGUUACAUAUCACCACAACUGGAAAGAAAAAAGUAUUUACUUUCAUUUGCCAUAUUGGAAAGCACUUAUUUUACAUCAUAAUAAUUUAGACAUAAUGCAUAUUGAGAAAAAUGUGUGACAAUAUAAUUGAGACAUUGUUCAGUAUUGACGAAGAAACAAGGACAACCUAAAUAGUCAUCUCGAUUUACAAGCUCUAACUAUUAGAAAUGAGAUUCACCCAAUAGAAAGCAGGACCAAAUUUAUUUUGCUUGCAACAUGCUACUCACUCACCCCAAAUGAGAUUAAGGAAUUUUGCAAGUUUUUGAAAUCAAUAAAGGUCCCCAAUGGCUAUUCUUUCAAUAUCUCUCGUUAUGUGCAACUCAAUGAAAGGAAGAUAUAUGAGCUCAAAUUGUAUGAUUGUCAUGUCCUAAUGCAACAACUUCUCUCACUUGUAGUUCGUGGAGUUCUACAUAAGAAUGUUUGUGGAGUUAUCAUAGAAUUGCGUAAUUUUUUCAAGCAAUUGUGCUCAAAGGUGUUAGAAACAAAUCACUUACACCAACUUGAGAACAAUAUUAUUGUCAUACUAUGUAAAAUGGAGCAAAUAUUUCUUCCAUCAUUCUUUGAUAUUAUGGUGCAUUUACUUGUGCAUCUAGUAAGGCAAAGGUUGCAAGACUUGUGCAAUAUUGUUGGAUGUACCUAAUUGAACGAUAUUGUUAUAAUUUCAUAUGAAUCAUUUAAUUUUAUUUUAUAUUAUGUUCAGUUCAUUAACAUGUACAUUGGUCUACAUAUGGAUGAUGAUAGGUACCUAAGCACUUUAAAGUCAUAUGUGCGUAAUAGAACUUUUCUAGAAGGUUCUAUUGUAGAAAGGUACCUUGCAAAAGAAUGUACAACAUUUUAUUCUAGGUACUUGAAUGAUGUGGAAAUAAAGUAUAAUCACAAUGAUAGAAACUUUGUUGGUUUCAACACUAGAGGAGAUGAAAGGGGUUAUCUUUAAACAUAUUGGACAUGCAUUGGGAAAGCCCAUAUUUCAUUAACUUAGUUCAAAAGAGUGGUCACAAGCACAUUUAUAUGUGUUGACAAAUUGCGAAGAUGUCAUACCAUUCAUUGAGUAAAAAAUUUAUUUGAAUUUUAAUUAAAGCUCUAGUUUAUAUCCUUAAUCAAUGUUUUUUAAAUUCACAAGGAGCACAAGCAAACCAUCAAGGCUAGACCACAUAUACGUGUUUGAGACGUAGAUUUAAUUCAUAACAAGGAAUUUAUCAAGUGGUUUGAAAGACAUGUAAGUAUAUUCCUUAUUAUAAGGGAUUUAUUUCACAUUAUGUUUAUAUUGAAUCCAAACCUAUUAUUGAAUUGUAGGUUGAACAAUUACAUAAUGAAGGUCAUAUAUCUGAACACCUUCUCACAUUAUCAUGUGUUCCAAAUUCAUUAGUUACAUGCUUCAAAUGAUAUAUUGUCAAUGGAUUUAGAUCCCACAUUAAAGAACGUGAUAAAAAAGUUUUUAAAAAAAGACUCAGAAUAAUGGAAUUGUUGUAGUUGCAAAAACGUCAAGCUUUACAAGUGCAUGUGAUAUGAGUCCAAUUAUUAGUGAUGCUCUCUACUAUGGUGUUCUAACUAAAGUUGUUGAGUUACAUUAUCUUGGUGAAAAUAAGGUUGUUUUAUUCGAGUUUGAUUGGUGGGAUGUUACAAAUAUUGGAAAAUUGAUAAAAGAUGAUGAGUACAAUUACACAUUUGUUAACUUUGCAUGAAUUCUAACCACGAACGAACGAUUUGUACUUGCAUCUCCAGCAAAGUAAGUGUUCUAUGUGAAGAAUGCGAAUGAAUCAGAUUGGCAUACUAUCAUGGAGAUGCAACCUCAAGACCUCUAUAAGAUGAACGGGAUAGGAUCCAAUGGUGAUUUUGAACCAUUUCAACAAAGUGAACUACAUGAUCACUAAUAUAUCUCAGAUUUAGUUGAUGAAGAUAUAAUCAAGUGGAACAAAAGUGAUGUUUUAGGACUAAUCAUCCUAAAAAAUAUUGUAGUUUCUUAAAAAAAAAAUGAAAAUGAAGAAGAUAAUUGAACCUUUGUCAUACUUUAAAAAGCAACUAUGCAUUGUUCAUUUUGUAUGUUUUGGUUUUCUUCAUUUAAUUUCCUGAUUUUUGUGAUUCAAUGUCAUAUUAUUGAUCUUGAAAUAUUUUUCUAAUUUUUCAUUCUACGAUGGUUUCAACAAGGAUGACAUCAAGUCAAAAAAGGAAAUGUGGUCCCACACACAAUAUUGCAUUACAGGGAUUAAGGUCAGGGAAGAAGGUAAAAGUUGCAUUUAAUGAGUACAAUCAAUUGGUUAAACAGAAAAAUGGAAAACACUUAUCGAGCUACAUAGGGACACUUGUAUCUAACCAACACAAUGUACCUCUCCAAGCUAGUGAUUGGAAAAAUGUUCCAAAUGAUGCAAAAGAGAAAGUAUGGCCUUUGUUUUGGUAUGUUGUAUUUCUCACUAUAUGAUGUCAUUUCACUGUUAUUCUAUUUUGUGACUAACGUUUGAAUCAUAUGUAAGAAAAAUUUGAAGUAGAUAAAGACUGAAAAGAUUACAUGUUGGGUAUAGCCUCAAAUAAAUAUAGAAGCUAUAAAAAUAUGAUGAAUGCAAAAUACUAUGACCCUUGGCAUAAGGAUGCAUGAGGAGAGGUUAAUACAUAAAUCACCAUUUGUCUCUGAUGUUGAUUGGAAGUGGCUUGUCUCUGAUGCAUAAACCAAAUCCCCCACUGAAUGUUUGAUAUUUGAUAGCAGGAAAAACACACCCGCAGCUAUACACCUCCAUCAUUCAGAUAAUUAUAGUGGGGGAGAUGAUUCAUGGUUGCCCUUAUACCCUUUAUUUGCACCAUCUAUUGAGAUUCUUUAUCAUGGCCAGGUUUUACUGCAGCAAUAAGAUAUGGUGGCAACAAUUUUAUCUAUAGGUGCGGUUCCAGACCGCCUCCAUAGGUGCGGUUCCUGACUGCCUCCAUAGGUGCCUCUUCUUGUAAUGUUUGUUCUGGGAAUUACACUUGAAAGCCUUAUCGUGAUAAGGGAUUACAAACACUAGUUCAGAGGACAGCCAUGUUAAACUUCCACUAUGUUUGUGUCACAUUAUCAGCAGCCUAGUGUUUAUUGGUCAUGCUAUCUGCAACUAAUAUAACCCGGUGAACUUCAAUCUAAAUUCUGAAAGUACUCAUGUGACAGAUGGUGCCUUUCAGCAGAUAUCAUCAAUUUAAAAGUAGUGUGUGUGCCUAUAGGUGGGAAGGCCUUGGCAAAUGUUCAGUAUUCCGGUAAUUCAAGAAGGAUAUAUCUAAAAUAGAUUUUCUUCUUGCCCAUUUCAAUAGUUAAAAUUUGAGAAGAUUGUGUCCACAUCACACAAAUAUUAUUGGUCCUUCUGUUGCAAUUUACCUCUGAACAUGUCUUCCAAUUCCCACGGUCCUGUUACUCCAGGAAAACUAUUUCGGUCAUAUUGAAAAAAAAAAUAUUAAAGAAGGUACACAUGCUUUUAAGUGGACUGGGGCAUUCAUAUCAGGUGGUCUGUAUCCACAUAUGCCACUUCGUGAAAGGUGGAACAGCCUAAUCACUAGGCUAUUUAGUGUGGCCCAGCCACGUUAAUCAAGCACAAGUCUUCAUACUUAAAGUCAAAUGGUGUCUUUAGUCUCAUUACACAUCGCUAUUUGAAGAUUAACUCAUCACUAGUGUAAUGCGAUUAAGACAGUCCUAACUCAAUAUUUGUUCUAGUUUUGGAUGCAAAUGCUUGCUGGUUUCAUCAUUGGAUGGGAUAAAGGUGCAAUCAGGACUAUGAAUACGUGCAGUAAUACUUCAUUCUCUUUUUUCUCAAUGAGACUUCUUGGCACAAUUUUGCUGCUCAGCAACCUACCUUUCCAUGGAAAAUCAGUUGUGACUGAUAGUAAUGGAUAUAUUCUAGAAAGCUAAACAUAGAUAGCAUUCAAUAUUAUCGAUAUAACAUUAACAGCGUAUGUCUCAAUGCUCAUCAGCUACAAGCAAUGGACAAACACUUUGAGUAACUCACAGCAGUCAAAAUUCCUAAACAGGACAGACGUGACAGAUCUAUAUAUAGAACACUGCAUAUGAGUCACAGGAAAAGAUAAUACGGGUACAUAGAAGCUCUUAUUUUACAUAUUACUCAUACUGAUCAAAGUCGCUCAGUUGGGAUGGAUGGGAGAAGGAGGUUUGAGGGGUGGCUUGUGCGGGGAAGUUGGCAGCUUCUUUCCGGGAGCUGGUUGCUUCUUUGCUGGAGUUGAAGGAGGCUUAAUCUUCCGAGGUGGCUUGUAUGAGUCUUCAGCAUUCUCAGCAGGAGGGUGACCAGGGUUGUGACCAUAAUGUGGUGGCUUCUCUCCCUUAGGUGGUUUGCCAACUGGGGUUGGUGGCUUGUUUUCUGGGAGUGGCUUCUCUCCCUUGGGUGGUUUGCCAACUGGGGUUGGUGGCUUGUGUUCUGGGAGUGGCUUCUCCCCCUUGGGAGGUUUUUCGAAUGGGGUGGGUUUGUGUCCUGGUGGUGGCUUCUCUCCCUUGGGAGGUUUACCAAUUGGGGUCGGUGGCUUGUGUUCUGGGAGGGGCUUCUCUCCCUGGGGAGGUUUAGUGGGUGGCUUGUGUUCUGGAGGUGGCUUCUCCACCGGAGGCUUAUGCUCUGGUGGUGGCUUCUCGAAGGGGGGAUGCUCAGGGUAAUCACCAAGUGAGGGGGUGGUGAGAACCACCAUGCCAAGCAACAACACUAGCAAGUAUGUAGUAGACAUCUUUGGGUUUGGACUCAGACAGUGCAAAACUACGAGAAAUCGCUAGCCCUUUAUAGCGGCUCGGACCUAAUACUGACAUAAUAUAAAAUAAAUAUUAUAUUUUAUCAAGAGAGAACAGAGUGUAAUUUUAUCAUUAAUACCGAUCGAGGCCAAAGAAAGAAGACCCAUAAUCCAUUUCCCACAAGCAUACACAAUGCAGCUGUAAUUUUAUCAUUUACUUUUAUCCCUUGGACCACUGCAUUUUUGUUGAGAGACACAAUAACACAUUUUUAUCUGUCAUUCAACAUUUACAGUAAAGAGAGGGCACAAAACGCAAUUAGAUAAAUUAUGUUUUGCCUGCUAAAAAGAGGCAAAUAACUUUAUUUGCAACAUAAUUAUUUUGGUUUCUAGUGACCCCGGGGCCUUUCGGUUGGUUUGGGAUCGGAAAAUGAACAUCAUAGGGGGGGUUGUGCCCUUAUGGGCAUAUAUAUCUGAUAGCUUCAACUGGCCUUGUUCCUAGAAAGAAAUUGCCAAAGAUAUAAACUUAUUCCAGGCUGAAAGUAGAUGAGAGUCAUAAUGAACAUCAACCUUUGUUCAGUUUGAUUCAAUGCCCCCAUAGUGUUCAUUUCACAGAUCUGAAUGAUUAUAUCCGUUGAAUACAUAAAUUAAUGAAGACAAAUAUGAAACCCAAGAUACAUCUCUGCAUAACAACCCCAACCCUGGUUGCUAUGUUUCCCUUCUUCUAUUCACAUGAGGAUACUGGUUAUAAUUGUCAAACUUGCAACAAGCCCUUUGACACCUAACGUCAAUGGACGAAUUAAAAGUCUCCUUCAAACGUCUAUUUCACAGCAUGAAGCUUAUAAAGGAUGCUGACAACCUUCAGAGUUAGCGACAAAAGAUAAUUAUCAAGGAGAGAUAGUUCCAUGAGAAUUCCAAGGAGUCUGAAUCAAAGACAAAUUGCUCACUCAAGGGUUCUUAUUUUCUUUUAGGUACAAAUCUCUUGAGUGUUGUUAAAGAAACACGUCACUGUCAUUUUGAUUUGCAUUUAACAUUUCACUUUUGUUCUGGAAGGUUUGUUCCGGAAACAUAUCAAAUGAGCAUCAUUUUCUUCUUCGGUGACACAUGGUCGCGAGUACGUGGGUCCAUUUUCAUGCCACUUAGUUGAAAAGUUGGAAAGAAAAAACAUGCCAACAAGAAGAUAGUGAGAGAAGGGGCACUUCAAGCCUUUAACAUGAACAAACAGUAAAUAAAAGAUGUUUCUCCACUCAUAAAAGUGUGUUAGAUAGCAAUAUAACGAAUCACAUCCAAAAUCUUUACUAGGCUCAAACAUAAAGAAGACUCAUUUUUAAGAAAAGAUAAAAAUGGCAUUGUCUGAUAGUAUCCAAUACACGAGAUGGCACUUAAUUUGUACAAGAUCUGUCAAUGCUGACGCACAUUUUCUGAUUAAAAAAAAACUGAUCAGUCAAAAGCAAUGAAGAGAAGUGAUGACAAUGAAUGAUGCUUCCAAUAUUUUCACCCCUUAUAGUGUUCUUCAUGAUUCAGAUAUAUAAUUGGAAAUAGAACAACCCUAUGCCAUACAUUCGUCUAAGUAUGGUGUCUAAUUUUUUGUGUCAGCGGUUGCGAAUGGAGCGUGCAAAAGUCCAAAUUGGCGUCUCUCCAUUUCCACAUAGGAAGGUGACCUUUAUUGACAAAUACCCAAUAUUUGUAGACAUUCCUUAAAUAUCAUAACUUCUUGUUGAUUUGAAAAUCAUUUUUCAACUACCAUGUUUUAAUAAAUAUUUUUUAAAAUGUAUUUUUAUCAAAGUCCACCAUGAUGGAUAAUAUUCACCAUGCAAUAAUUAAUAAAGUACAAACUAAGCGAAAUGAAAAGCAUUUUCUUUGCUUUGAGUUGAUUUUGGUUGCAUUGAGUUGAUUUUGGUUUCAUGGUUUUUUCAACUCUUAUUUUGAUUGGAAGAUGUCAAGAAAAGAAAACAUAAAGAAAAAUUAAAAGGGAAAAAAGAAGAAAAAUAAAAAAAAAUAGAUUUAAAAGUUAAUAAAUUAUUUUUUAUAUUUAUUUUAAUUCAUUUCACUUAUUUUUCUUUUACUAUAUAAAAUUUAAAUAAUUUAAAUUUUAUAAUUAAUUUAAUUACAUUUCAUUUUCUUCUAUAUUUAAAUAUUGGAAAAAUAUUUUACUUAAUAUUUUUUUCUUUAAUUUCUUUGGCAUUUUGGGAACCAAACUUAGCCUUUAAAAUAAAAAACAAAAAAAAAAUGAAAAUAAGGAGGGAAAAGUGAGAAAAGAUAAAAACAAUAUGUAAAGGAUUUGAAAAGUAUUAGUUUGUAAUUACUAUUUGGAUUUCAAUAGUAUUUUAUUUGUCUUUCUAUAUUUCAUGUAAGAGAGAAUUUAAGAUAUUCCCCAAGGCAAAGCAUUAGUUACCUGCAAUCAGUGGUGAUAAGGCUCCAAGCCAAUUUUGGGCCCCAUAUCUUAAGACAGUACAAUUUCCAUUUCAACAUUUCUGAUUUCUCAGAUGUUUCACAUACCACAGAAGAACAUUGUUUGUGAAAAUAUGCAUUUAUGUUGGAUUUUGUAUGCUGUGGGGACUGGGGCAAGGAUCAUAUGGAAGAGUGGUUGACUUUUUCUGUACUUUAACGGUUGAAAUAGGAUAAGCACGGGCAUUUGUGAGGCUUAAUUGAUUUUGAAGCCUGAAAUUGCGUUUCUGUCAUUUUGUCAAAAAAAUGGCAGAUUCCAUACUCAUAUGUUUGGCCUGUGGCCAUGUACAGAUGCCAUUUAGUGACCAGUUUGUAACUGUCAAUCGUUGCGUUUUGACUCUGCCUCAACAACAUCUGCCAUUGACGGGUUUUCAUACUUGCAAAUCAAAUAGUCUUUCGUCCCAUCAGGAAUUUCGGUUUAAAUAUUAUUAAGCAUACGUUUGGCUGACAAUCAUUAUCCAGUUCAUGAUUUGGUUUCUUACCCUUAAUCAAUGGUUUCUAAGUGAAUAUAUGUAGAAGGAAAUCCGAAGUGUAGACAGUAGUAUCGAUAACUCUCAAUAUUCUCUAUAUAAUAGAAUAAACAGCGUCAUAGUGAUCGUCGCCUACAAGCAAGGUACAAAUACCAAAACGAGUGACUCACAUAGACAUCUCCCAACAAGAUGUAGUAGUGACUGACACAUGGACACAAUUAACUCGUAGAAAAGGAUAAGACCAUUGCACAGCAGCUCUUAUUUUACAUACUACUUAUGCUAACCAAAGUCAAUUAGUUGGGAUGGGUGGGAGAUGGAGGUUUGUGCGGUGGCUUGUGGGGCGGAGUUGAUGGCUUCUUUCCAGGAGCUUCUGGCUUUUUCAUCGGAGCUGAAGGAGGCUCAAUCUUAUGAGGCGGCUUGUAUGAGUCUUCUUUACUCUCGACAGGAGGGUGGCCAGGGUUGUGAUCAUAAUGUGGUGGCUUCUCUCCCUUAGGUGGCUUGCCAACUGGGGUUGGUGGCUUGUGUUCAGGAAGUGGUUUCUCUCCCAUGGGAGGUUUAGCAAUUGGGGUUGGUGGCUUGUGUUCUGGGAGUGGCUUCUCUCCCUUGGGAGGUUUAGUAGGUGACUUGUGUUCUGGAGGUGGCUUCUCCACCGGAGGCUUGUGCUCCGGUGGUGGCUUCUUGGUUGGAGGGGGCUUGGGGUAAUCAGCAAGAGAUGGGGUGGUGAGAACCACCAGUCCAAGGAACAACACUAGCAAGUAUGUGGGAGACAUUUUUGAGUUUGGGCUGAUCAGAUGAUGCAAAACUAAAGCAUUACGUGACCUUUUAUAGCAUGUAGCUCCCAAUACCCACUAAGUAUUGUGGGGUCCAUUUGUGCCCUACGGGGUUGAAAACUUAGACAAUUGGGCAAGGACCCACCUGACUAUGGAGGACUAGUGAGGUGUGAUCAUAGCUUUAGGAUUUUUCUUCCUCUGCAGCCGUCGUGCCGUUGGCAUGAUUUUCUUAAUCUUAAAUAAAGGCAUAGUUAUAGAGUUGUUUAAUCUCUAAAUGGGAUUUUAUAUAUAUCUUCAGAUAGCCAUUAAUAUAUUUGAUGAAGAAAGAAAGACAAGUGCAUACAACAUGUAUACGACUAGCUUUCAUGGAGUUCAUUUAUGAUCAGUUUUCCUGUACAUGUAAACCAGGAUCAUAUAUAUGUUUCUGUUCCACAACUAUUUUGGAAUCUUGUUUAUCAGUUUUUAUCAUUAUAAUGUCACAUAGGCUGCCAACUUGGGCGCUAAAAGAACCAGUUGGGCUAGUUCGUUUCAGAAUUUCAAUGUGGAUUCAGGAAUUGUUUUGUAAGAUAUGCGAAAUAGUAGAGGGAUGAAUAGUGUUUCAUUAAUAAAAGUGUCCUGUAAAUUAGAAGGUGUCAUAGAAACUAUAAUCAAUAAAUAACUUUUUUUCCCCACGGGUGGUGUUUCUUGUGGGGAUCAGUGACUGGUUUAGGUUCACCCAAAAUGAGUUCAGACUAAAAUUGGUUUGAGUCAAUGCCGUGUCUCUUUUUUCCAGAAAUCAACUAUUUUAUGCAUUGAAUAAAUCAUACAAAGAAAAUAUGAACGCCCGCAAAACCUAAACCCUGGUUGCUAACUUUCUAUGUUUCAGUUCUAUUCACGCAAGAAUAUUAGUUUAAGUUUGGGAAAAAUGGCAACUUACCUAGUGAUUACUUGGUUUUGGUUUGCGACUAUUUACGCAACCAACCAUGAGUUUGACUUUAACGUCAUGGGUUGAAGCCUCCUACAGGAAGGGAGAAAGCUCCACAGCUAGCUCCAAAAGAGAAUUAUCACAUUGAUAGCUCCAGAGAUUCCCAAGGGGACUGAAUCAAAGACAAGUUCCUCACUUUUUCUUCUUUUGAGGCCAAAUAUGAACCAAGGAUCACACAACCUCAUUCAACUUCAUAAGUUUGAUUUCAUGCAGUUGAACACUGGGUGAAGGCCAUGACAAGAAUUGAUUCAAAAAUUCUAUCACUCUUUUAAGUAAUGGAAGAUUAUUAUCUCUGAUUGGCAUCACAACAGCACAUGCUCCUAGAUCUUUCUAGACACUCCAUGCAAUGAAAGCACAAUGGAUCUUGUAACGAUAGAAACUAAGCCAUGCUACAGUACUAGAUGAUGAGGUAAAACUAGUAGACACGGGUGGCAGCCUAUAUGGGAGGGACACAAGUCUAAUUGAUUUGCAUUUCAGCAUUAUAGAUAGGUAUGUUUUGGAAGAUUUGUUCUGGAAAUACCGCACCAAGUAGGAUUCUUUUUCUCUUUAGUGGGUCCACUUGCAUGCCAAUUAACGAGUUGAAAAGUAUGAGCACCUACCUCGUGCUCGUGGAACCGAAGGUCAGUGAAGUGGGGCUCCUUUUGGCCUCGUGUAAACUUGAUUCAGAAGUGAAGUUAAUAGUCUUCCAUUCAGAUGGAUACAUGGGAAUUUUUCUCUUUUAUUUAUUUAUUUAUUUUUUUUUUGUGUGUGUAUGUCAAAGGAUAAUGAAUGAAGCGCGUUAGCUUGUUUUCUGACUGGAACCGCAGAUGUCCAAAUUGGAGUUCCUUCAUUUCUUACUUAGGAUUGUUACAUGUAUAAACAAGGUAUAAGAAAUAUGCCAACGUGUCUUGAGGAGUUAUUGAUUAGAAAUAACAAGUCACCCGACUGUAGAGUUCCAAGAUUUGAAUCUUCAGACCCUAUAGCAGCCUCUGGGGUACGUGGCAUCCUAUAGCAUAUUAAUGAAGGCUUUUUCGAUUUAGACUUCACAAUACCAAUUAAUAUGUAUGCACAAAAUGGAGAUGACCCCAAAAAAAACAGAAUCGCCAUAGUUUAUGAGGUUAAGGUGAUUCUCCACUUAAUAUCUACAUUAGCUAAUUAUGUAAAUCAAAUGAACUUCUAUUUUUCCUUUUUUUUUUUGGUUUAUGUCAAAUAGUAGCCCAUAAUUAACCCAACCAUUAGCCUGUUUGAAUUGAUUUCACAUGCACAAUGUUGUAGUAGUUCAUAUUUUGAAUUUUAUUUUUACAAAGGUAGUUAAGGAAAAUGAAGUAUAAUAAUUAUAAAAGCAGACUAUAUACACUACAAUAAUUGUUAGAAUGGUAUCUCAAAUUCUAAUUUAAAAUAUUAUUUUUUGUAAAAGAAAUAUUAUAUAGAAUAUUUCCUAAUUUUAUAAAUGAUUAUAAUUAGAUCUUUAUAAAAUAAGGAAAGUUGGUAAGAAUAUCUUUAUAAAUAUUUUAGGUCAUGAGAGAAAGAAAUGGGAUAAAAAUGUGAUGAAGAGGUGAAAUAAGAGAGUUGAUUAGGAUAUAGAUGUGAAGAAGAAAGGGAUUCAAUAUAUAUAUAUCUUUCAAUUACCACAUUAAAACCCUGUGAACCUUUUAUAUGGUUUACUUUAUUUUUAUAUUCCUCCUUUAAUAUAUUUACAUUAAUGCUUCCAUUGGCACAACAAUAACGAAUUACAAAUACAAGCAACAAGUCCCAUGUUUUAUUACCAAAAGCAGGUAAAAUCCACCUAAUAUAUUACAAUAUAUUCAUCCAAUAUUUUAGACCAAUUCUUCACCAUAAAUAUCAUAAUGUGGCUUUUGUUCUUUCUUAAAUUUAAAUUGAAUUGUCUUAUAUCAAUUUGUUUGUGAUUUUUUCAUUAACUUCACUUUCAUUUGGUUAUCUUUGGUUUUUGAAAAGUAUUAAGGAAUUAAUUAACAAAAUAAUGUUAAGAAAAAUAAUUUUCUCUCUUUUGAUUUUGAUUUUGUAGUAGAAAAAUAUAAUUAAAAUUAUUUAAAAAGUAUGUAAUUUUAAAUUAUUUAAUAUUUAGAUAAAAAAAAUAAGUCUAAUGAGUUUAAAAUAACAUAUAAAAAUAAUUUAUUUAUUUUAAAUUUAUUUUUUAUUUUCCAUUAUGUUCUCUUUCUCUUUUACUUUUUCAUAUUUUUUCUUACGAAGAAUCAAACACAACCUCAUAUUAUAUGUCAAGUGUUUGUCUAUAUUUGAGCAAUGUUAGAUACGGCCAUGGAUUCAUCAAACUAAACUGAUUUUAAUAGAUACUUCACAAAUUGAUUUAUACACUAAAUCAUUGGAUAGCAAUGAUGCAUUGGAAUUAAACGUAGGAUGAAGCUCGAAGAACACUGUUUGUGUAACAACAUAUUUAUGAAAUUAUGCAAAGGAUGAGCUUCGGGGUAGUAGUACAAGGUCAUUAAUGGAGAGCCGUGUUAAACCUUGAUUGUGAUUGGAUUCCGUUAUCAGCAACAGCAACCUUGUUUGUAACCUUGAAAGUCAUUCUGUCCACAUCGAAACUCCAAUUUGACGUUUGUAAUUACCAUUCCUGGAGUGUUCCUUGAUUGAAAUUUAAAUAAUAAUUGCGGCCCACAAGGAAUAUUUUCGAUUCUGUGGGAAUUUGACAAGGUUUGUUAGAGAAGACUGGUGACAUGUUGACUUCAAUGGUUCAAAUAGGAGACGUAUGUGGAUUUGGGGGGUUUAAUUGAAACUGAGUCCCUAUGGCUUUUUAAUAUUUGCAUUGAGCAGUCUCCAUGUGACUUCCUAAUUCCCACCAACCCUCCUGUCCAUGCUGUGAAACUAAAUUGUAAUUUAUCAGCCUUUGUCAAUGGUUUCUAAAUUAAAGAUAUAGACCAUGCAUGUACUUUAAUAAAAGCAAAUCUAAAGUGUAGAUAGCAGCAAUGGUGACACCCAAUAUUCUCCAUAAAAUAGAAUUAGAAUAAGCAGUGUUACAUUGUUCAUGAUCACCUACAAGCAUACAAGAACUUCCAUGAAUAACUCAUAGCAAUUGCCAACAGGGCGUCGUAGAGACUCAUACAUAGAACACUAUCCACCCAGAGGAAAGGACAAGACCAGUGCGCUGCAGCUCUUAUUUUUCACAUGUAUACCACCACUCGUAAUAACCAAAUUCACUCAGUUGGGAUAGGUGGGAGAUGGUGGUUUGUGGGGUGGCUUGUGGGGAGGAGUUGGAGGAGGCUUUAUUUUCUGAGGCGGCUUGUAUGAGUGUGCAGGAGGAUGCCCGGGAGUGUGACCAUAAUGUGGUGGCUUCUCUCCCGUAGGUGGUUUGCCAAAUGGGCUUGGUGGCUUCUCUCCCUUAGGAGGUUUACCAAUUGGGGUUGGUGGCUUGUGUUCUGGGAGUGGUUUCUCUCCCUUGGUAGGUUUGCCAAUUGGGGUUGGCGGCUUAUGUUCUGGGAGUGGCUUCUCUCCCUUGGGAGGUUUGCUAAUUGGGGUUGGCGGCUUAUGUUCUGGGGGCGGCUUCUCUCCCUUGGGAGGUUUGCCAAUUGGAGUUGGCGGCUUAUGUUCUGGGAGUGGCUUUUCUCCCUUGGGAGGCUUGCCAAUUGGGGUUGGCGGCUUAUGUUCUGGGGGUGGCUUCUCUCCUUUAGGAGGUUUGCCAAUUGGAGUCGGCGGCUUAUGUUCUGGAAGUGGCUUUUUUCCCUUGGGAGGUUUGCCAAUUGGGGUUGGCGGCUUAUGUUCUGGGGGUGGCUUCUCUCCCUUGGGAGGUUUGCCAAUUGGAGUCGGCGGCUUAUGUUCUGGGAGUGGCUUCUCUCCCUUGGGAGGUUUUGUUGGUGGCUUGUGUUCUGGAGAUGGCUUCUCCCCUGGAGGCUUGUGCUCCGGAGGUGGCUUCUGAAAUGGCGGGGGCUUGGGGUAAUGAGCAAGAGAUGGAGUACUGGUGAGAACCACCAUUCCAAGCAACAAUACUAGCAAGCAUGUGGGAGACAUCUUUGAGUAGUUGUAGCUAAGAUGGCGCAACACUGUAGGCAUUGGGUGGCCUUUUAUAAAGGGCUGGACCCAACAGCCAUAUGACACGUGUCAUGAUGACAAAUGAAGUUGAGGGGAUCCAGAUGGGUCCUACUGAGUCGAAAACUUGCACUAAUUGAUCUGGUGAGAUGACUAUUUCUGUCCUUUUGCCCUUCUCGGCCACCCUGUGCUGUUUUCCUUUUGCACGAUUUUCGUUGCCAAACAAGCAAAUAAUAUUUCGCCAAGAAAGAGGAGAGUGAAUGUGGAAUGCAUCAAGUCCCAUCAAGGAUGGCAGAGAAGAAAUAGAAGAUUGCCCAACUGUGAUAAACAUAGCAUACACGUAGCACCAGGAACUUCAUUUACUUCCAUCUAAUGGAACAUAACAAUCUUCUAAAGUUUUUGCAUGAUUUUGUUAUAUGUCUCUUAGCCUAAAGUUGGAAAUGCGCAACAAAUUUUGUCACUUCUCUAUUUCCCACUGAUGAUGUUAAUUAGCCUUCAUAGAUAUCAUCCUUUCUACAAAGUGCUUCAUUUGUGUGUUAUUGUAAAGUGUAAGAAAAGUAAUUGAACAUGUUCUUUUUCCUUUCAUAGAUGACUUUUGAUGUGCAUUUUAAAAGCAGCGCUGUGAGUCGGUGACCUUGAUUCACACGGAAACUAAGGCUCCUAUAGGACCCACUUUUAGCUGGUUAGGGGUGAAGAAAAUAUCAACUUUUCAGAGUGAUUUAAGUCAAGGCCAAGCCUCACUGUGUCAUUACUCGUGUGAAUUUUAUAUGCACAUACAUACAUAAAUAAAGUAUGAGACCCAAAUAACACCUUCCCUUUACAAACUUAACCCCAGCCGCUCUCUUUCAAUUCUUUUCACACAAGGGUAUUGACUCUAUAAAGGUCAAGAAAAUCAUAAUUUCCUAGGGUUUACAAGGUAAUUGGCUUAAUGCUAAUGUGAAAACAUAAAAGAUAAUAGUAUAUUGUAAGCUAACGAAUAUUCUAUAGUUAUAAUUAUUUGUGAUGUGCAUAAAUAAAUCUUCAUAUAUAUAAUGGAACAAUGAAUAAAGAACCAAUGAAAAAAUACUAUAUAUCAUUGCUUGGCAUUUAAACCGUAUAUGCUGCUCUUUCUAGCUACUCCAUCCACUGAAAGACAACAAGGUAAUCCAUGUUAUAAUGAUAGAAGAUACUGUCUCUAGGCUUUUUGUGAUGAAAAAUAUAAGAUAUGGGUAGGGUUGACCCUUGUAUGUUUGUCCUAUAAACACUUCAAAGUAACAUAUUUUUCUUCUUUAGCAACUCAUAAUGAUGGGGUUCAUUUGCAUGUCACUGAGUUGAAAAGUUGGACAAUUGCCCAUGUCGCCUUCCUCCUAGAUUCCGUAGUUCACGGGAAGGUAACUCAAGUUUGACAUAUUUUGAAUUCUUUUCACUCGGACGUCUUCAUAACCUGACAAAACAAAAAUGAAAAACAGAGGAUUGGUAUAUUAUUCAUGGUAAGCCUCAAAUUAUAGUAGUAUGAGAAAGGAGAAAAAGAUUUUGGGAACUCCAAUCUGGAUAAUUCUCGUUUCUUCUCUUGAAUAAAAAUUUCACUUACCUAACUUCGUUUGGAGAAAUGGCAUAUUUUAAUUUUGUACGUCAUUGCUAAUAAAUGGAGCAAUUUAGCAUGUUUUGUGACUGAAACUGCAAAUGUCCAAUUGGCAUUUCUUCAUUUCCCACUUAGGAUCUGAUCUUGUAGACCAUAUAACGAUAUGUAUCUGUGCAAGCAUUGAAAACUAAUGUGAACUAUGAGGAGUUACAAGCCACUGGACUGUAGAGCGAGUGCCAAGAUUUAAAUCUUCAGGCUCUAUCUGGGUAAGGGGAGGAUAGCGACCUAACCUUUUACCAAAGGCUUAGAAUUUAGACUUUUGGAAAAAAAUUUCUCAUGUUUUGGCUGGAUUUCUUGUGCUUGGCGCAAAAAGGAGAUGGCCUCAAGAAAUAGCAGACUCACUUUUGUUUUCAGCCCUUAAUAAUUCUCCACUGCUUUCCAUAACUACAUGGGUUAUACAUGCAGUCUGCUGCAAUAUUCCAGUUAUAUUUAUUAUUUCAAAGAGGGUGAAUGACUUCACAUGCAAUAUGUUGCAGUAACAACCCAAAUUUUGGCACACCAUCUUAAGAAUAGAAAAGUAUAAUAAAAGAAAUCAAUCAGAGAAUCACUUUGCAUGCAGUUCAUAGAGUUCGCCCAAAAUGGAGCCACAUGUACGGACAACCCCACAAUAGACAAUCUUCUCUAUACAGUAAUAAAAUACAGAAAUGGUUAAUGAAGCUCUGUAUUUCCUUAUCAUAUAUGACCGGUUGAAAACUCAGCAAGUCUUCCUCAAUCACAGACAGUUGGAGUUGCUUCAUCAAAAUCAUGCCUUCAUUACUGGCUUCAUUUUGGUUUCAAUGUCUGUUCUACCCUUAAAUUGGGUCUCUGCUUACUACCGGGAUAUCCUUUAGCGUCCUGCAAUUCUACUAGAUUAAAGAGAAUGACUUAAUUCUGCAUUCUGCCGUCCCUAGUCCAAGUGGUACUAGAAUUGAUGUUUCCUUUAGUGUCCUUUCUUCAUACUUUCAGGUUCUUCCCUUGUUUCAAUAAUGCUGUUUUCCUUCAUGUUUAACCUCUGUUGAACCACUUAAAACAACACAAUUUGCACACCAAUGUUUCUUUACAGAAAAGACUGUUUGCAAAAAUGCACAUGUUAUAAGGUUAAUGGAAGAAUUAAUUUGGGGAUAAGGGACUAGGAUUGGGCCAAUGAAGUUUGGUGUUAAAUUUUGAUUAUGAUUGCUUUUCAUUAUCAGGUACCUUAUAUUUGCUGAUGCUAUCUGGAACUAAAUUCAAAUCAGACAUUAUCCGAUUACUAACAGGACAUAUCAUGUCCCUCUGCAGAGUUUCUAAACUAACAUGUAUCGAAAUGUGGCCCCAAAAGGAAGGCUAGGAAGAUGGAGGAUUUUGUAGGAAUCGACCAGAAUCAGAUGGAAGAGAGAUAGUCCUGUUGACUUUAAUGGUUGUGAUAGGAACAUGCAUCAUUAUAUGAGAAGUUGCAUGAAUUUAUGUAUCCUGUUAUCGUUCCUUGACGAUUUCCCAAUGCAAUUUCACUGUCCACAAGACUAACCUCUCCAUGCAGUCAAAUGAAUUGUAAUUUCUCUAUUGGUACCAGUAGUACAUUUCAUACCAAACAUAUAGUAAAUAUAAAAUAUAAAUAGAUCAAGGAAAUCUGAAUUGUAGAUAGCACUGCAAGUAACACUCAAUAUUCUCUAUAUAUAAUAAAAUAAACAGUGUCACAAUACUCAUCACCCAGUGGCAAGGGAGAAAAACCUACAAUGAGUACUCAAAUCACCAUUCUCAAACAGAAACAUAGCAGUGACUGAUACAUAGAACCUAUAUGCUCACAGGGAAAGAAUAAGAUGACCAGUGCACAGCGGGCAGCAGCUCUUAUUUUACGUACAACUCAAAUCCCAAACUAACCAAAGUCGCUCAGUUGGGAUGGGUGGGAGAUGGUGGUUUGUGGGAUGGCUUCUGGGUAGGAGCUGGUGGCUUCUGUCCCUUUGGUGGUUUGCCUAAUGAGCUUGGUGGCUUGUGCUCCGGGAGUUGUUUCUCUCCCUCGAGUAGGUUUCGAGUCUUGUCAGAUGGCUUGUGUUCUGGUGGUGGCUUCUCUCCCUGGGGUGGUUUGCCGAAUGGGCUUGGUGGCUUGUGUUCGGGGAGUGGCUUCUCUCCCUGGAGAAGGUUACGAGUUUUGUCAUAUGGCUUUUGUUCUGGUGGUGGCUUCUCUCCCUGGGGUGGUUUGCCGAAUGGGCUUGGUGGCUUGUGUUCGGGGAGUGGCUUCUCUCCCUGGAGAAGGUUACGAGUUUUGUCAGAUGGCUUGUGUUCUGGUGGUGGCUUCUCUCCCUGGGGUGGUUUGCCGAAUGGGCUUGGUGGCUUGUGUUCGGGGAGUGGCUUCUCUCCCUGGAGAAGGUUACGAGUUUUGUCAGAUGGCUUUUGUUCUGGUGGCGGCUUCUCUCCCUGGGGUGGUUUGCCAAAUGGGCUUGGUGGCUUGUGUUCGGGAACUGGCUUCUCUCCCUUGGGAGGUUCAGUUGGUGGCUGCUGUUCCGUAGGUGGUUUCUUCACCGGCGGCUUGUGCUCCGGAAGCGGCUUCUCUACCUGGAGAAGCUUACGAGUUUUGUCCGAUGGCUUGUGUUGUGGUGGUGGCUUCUCUCCCUGGGGUGGUUUGCCAAAUGGAGUUGGUGGCUUGUGUUCGGGGAGUGGCUUCUCUCCAUUGGGAGGUUUAGUUGGUGAUUGGUGUUCCGUAGGUGGUUUCUGAAGUGGGGGAUGCUUGGGGUAGUCAGCAAGAGACGAGGUAGUGAGAACCACCAGUCCCAGCAGCAACACUAGCAAGCAUGUGGAAGACAUCUUUGAGUUCAGGCUGAGAUCUGUGCAAGGAUAACAGAAUUAGGUGGCCUUUUAUAGAGGCCUGGACCCAACACCCAUAUGACACGUGUCAUGCACUCAUGGUGACACAUAAUUCUAUGGGACCAUUUGGGUCCUACAGAAGUUGCAAAGUUGGACUACUGAGGUGUGAUCACAACUUUUGUCCUUAUUGCUUUCUCUGCGGCCAUUGCACGAUUUCCUUUAGCAUCAUUUUCUUGGCUAAAUAAGCGUAUUAUAUUUGUGGCAGACCGUCCACGUGUCAUAAACAGAUAUAUUAUAAUAAUGUAGUAUGCUUUUCUCCAAUGGAACAUGACACUCUUCUAAGUCUUGUUUUAAAUAUUGUGCAGGAUUACUUUAUACGUUGCAGUUCCAAGUCAAAAUUGGUGGGCAAACGUUGGCCUUUUUUCAUUUCACCUAAGAUUAAUGCUCACCUGGGAUAGGCACUACAUGACUUAUCUGCUCUUUUACUGUAAAGUUGCUUUGUGUAUGAGAUACACCUCCCCUGCACACCCUCAACAUUCGUUGCUCUGUUUUCCUUGUGUCCAGACGAGGAUAUUAAUUGGAGGCUGACAAAACGACUGCUAGCCCAGGAUUUACAAGGUCCUGGUUUGAGGCUUCGGUGAAAGUAUUUUUGAAAAGACACACAUAGAGAUAGUGCGUUUGGUGCAAUGCAGCACUGUGAGCCAUUCUGACGCGUUCUUAAUUUCAAAACUAAUGAAUGCUUCAAAAUUUUAAGAAGUGACAUUUCCAAAUAUUUGAGUUCGUUUAAUUGAACAUUGGAUAACUAGUGAUCAUAGAUUAUUAUCUGUGCUUGGCACUAUAAGAGGGUAUAUGCUUCUUUUUCUGGCCCCUCCUUCAAGGGAGGAGGGACAAUGUGAUCUGUAACGUUAGAAGCUAUUCCAUGUCAUCUUUGGGCUCAGUUCAAAACUAAAAGAUAAUGGGGGGGGGGGGGGGGGGCAUAUCAUUUUAUAUUUCUUCUAGAAGGUUUGUUCUGGAAAUAUUUCACAGGAGCAUAUCUUUUUCUUCUAUUACGUCAUCCGCAGCCUCCAAUAGGUCGGUUAACAAGCCACCGAGUUGAAAAGUUGGAAAAAUGGGAACACAGCCCGCCUCUUGUAUUCAGUAGUUAAAUAAAAGGUCACUAGAAGUGAGAUCCCUUUUGGCGUCUUGAUUUUCAAUCCAGCACCUCUGUGACCUGACAAACCAAAAAAACUAAAAAAUAAAAAACAGUACGUGGGUUGGUGUUAAGCAUCAAGACAUGUUAAUGAAAGAAGGUAGAGAAUAGGAUAUUGAAAUCCCAAUCCUGAUAACAUGAUUUUCUUUGCUAACAACCAUAUUAUAUUUUAUCAAGAAAGAGUAAUGCAUGUGGCGUCCAUCAAGACCCAUUAGAGUUCCGCUAAAGCUAUAGUUCUGUCAACGUUAUCAUUUACGUUUCCUCUAGAUAAUGGCAUUUUCCUCUAAAGCUCUUGCACCAUUAGGCUUCAAGUCAAAAUUUCACAUGUGAACUUUGGAAAUUUUCUCCAUUUGCCCCUAAGGAUACAGUUAGAAUUGACUUAAAAUCCUGAUUGAUAUGUACUAUUAACCAAAGAAUAUUGUAUAUAAUAAUUGAAAUAUUGUUGAUUCAUCGUGGAAAUACAUUUUGUAAGGAAAGUUGUUGAGAAUUUAGUAUGCUAUAUGGAGAAAAAAGUCAUGACUUAAGGUUGUGUAUGUAUAUUCUAUAUCAAAUAUUAGGUAGGAAUGUGGGAAAGAGCAGAGUGUAAUGAUAAGAAACAAAGAAAUAUAAGAUAUUCUUGAAAGUGGAAAAUAUAAAAUGGCUAACGAGUCAAAUUUAUGAUGCGUAAGGGGGAUCAUGUCACAUAAGAAAACCAUGGCAUACUAAAGACGUACGUGUGGUAUGGAGUAAUAAUUUUGUUAAAAUAAGUUUCUUGUUGGAGUACAUUAGGUGACUAUUCAUAACGUAUCAAAUUAAAGAGUCAAGUGCAUCAAUGAAGGCAUAUGUAGAAAAUUUGUUUGUGACAUGUACCAUAAAGAUAAGAUUGACUUGAUAGAAUUUAGUCUAAGUAGGAGUUGUUAAAGGUGUCUUAAAUUUCUAAUUGAUGUAUAUUUUUUUCUAAAAAAAUAUUAUAUAGAUAUUUUAAUAAAUGAUUAAUUCUUUGUAAAAAUACUUACAUAAUAAAAAACAUCAUUAAAAAUAUCUUUAUAAAUAUUUUAAGUUACAAGAAGGAAAAAAACCACUGUGAGAUAAUGAUGAACAUGCAACACUGUACCAAGUAAAUAAAAAUGUGAUAAAAAAAAAAGAGAAACACUCGAUAAAGGAAGGCUCGUAUAUAAAGAGUAAUAUUUUUAAUCAUAUGAUAGAAUGAUUUUCUCUCAUUCAUGAAUAUAGGCAAGAUUGGGGAACCAUUAUAAAAUUUUGUACACCUCGUGUAAAUUGAUGUUUGUCUUCAUAUUUUACACCAACAAAUGACAUUGAAGUUGUCAUUGAUAAAAGGGAAAAGGCAUGCCUCCACACCAUGUGCUUGAUUCGAAUGGUUCAAGUUUGAAGAAUUUUCUCCGGAAGAUCUAAAACAUUUUCGCCUUUAAAUUUCAUUUGAUUAUUAAUAUCCGAAAAAAUAGUUAAAUACUCUUUCUAUUUUUGAGUUGUUGAAUUUUUUGAAAGUUUUUAUAUUUGUUAUCAAGAAUUUCUAUUUUAUUAAGGGUGAAUAUUUAUAAAUAAGAUAUUAUAUAAUAUUUGGAUAAGAGAGAAUGGUGGAAUAUAAUAAAGUUUUAAUCCUUCCCAAUUUUGAACCUUUUUUUUUUUUUUUGAUAUAAUCGCCUUUCUCUUGCAAUCCUAUUAUCAGGUACCUUAUAUUUGCUGAUGCUAUCUGGAACUAAAUUCCAAUCAGGCAUUGUCCAAUUACUAAUAGGACAGAUCAUAUCUCUCUGUUUCUAAACUAACAUGUAUCGUAAUGUGACCUCAUAAGGAAGGCUAGGAAGAUGGAGGAUUUUGUGGGAAGCGACCAGAAUCAGAUGGAAGAGAGAUAGCCCUGUUGACCUAAUGGCUGUAAUAGGAGAAGCGUGUGGUUUUAUGGGACUUAACUGAUACUAAACCUGUAUGAUGCUUGGAGUGGUGUUUCUUUCAUUUUGUUAAGAAAAUAUGGCAGCAUACAUGCUUUCAACUGAGUGCAUCAGAGCAUCCAUAACAGAUGGUCUGCAACCCUAGGUGCAUGCCACUUUCUGACUGAUAAUGAAAUUGUCAGGUACCUGGCCUUGACUAAGCUCAACAGCAUCACAUAAAGAGAAGCUUUCAUACUUAGAUUACUGUUUAAAGUUUUUGCUUAUUUGAUUUCUUAAUGCCAUUAUGACAUUAUUGAUUCAAUUCUGCUUCCGAUUUUCGAAGUUCUGGGCAUCUACUGAUUGCAUCAUUAUAUGAGAAGUUGCAUGAGUUUAUGUAUCCUGUUAUUGUUCCUUUGCGAUUUCACUGCUCACGGGACUAACCUCUCCAUUCAGUCGAAAUGAAUUGUAAUUUCUUUACUGGUAGCAGUAGUACUUUUCAUAGCAAAGAUAAUAGAAAAUAUGAAAUAUAAAUAGAAGGAAAUCUGGAUUGUAGAUAGCACCAUAAGUAACACUCAAUAUUCACUACAUAAUAAAUAGACAGUGUUACAUAGGUAGAGAAACCUACAAUGAGUACUCAUCACCAUUCUCAAACAGAAACAUAGCAGCGACUUAUACAUAGAACCUAUAGGCUCGCAGGGAAAGAGUAACAUGAUAAGUUCACAGCGGGUAGCAGCUCUUAUUUUACGUAUUACUCAAAAUCUCAAACUAACCAAAGUCACUCAGUUGGGAUGGGUAGGAGAUGGUGGUUUGUGGGGUGGCUUCUGGGUAGGAGCUGGUGGCUUCUUUGUUGGAGUUGAAGGAGGCAUAUUCUUCUGAGGUGGCUUGUAUGACUCUUCGGCACUCUCUGCAGGAGGGUGCCCAGGGUUGUGACCAGAAGGAGGUGGCUUCUGUCCCUUUGGUGGUUUGCCUAAUGGGCUUGGUGGCUUGUGCUCCGGGAGUUGUUUCUCUCCCUCGAGUAGGUUUCGAGUUUUGUCAGAUGGCUUGUGUUCUGGUGGUGGCUUCUCUCCCUGGGGUGGUUUGCCGAAUGGGCUUGGUGGCUUGUGUUCGGGGAGUGGCUUCUCUCCCUGGAGAAGGUUACGAGUUUUGUCAGAUGGCUUUUGUUCUGGUGGCGGCUUCUCUCCCUGGGGUGGUUUGCCAAAUGGGCUUGGUGGCUUGUGUUCGGGAACUGGCUUCUCUCCCUUGGGAGGUUCAUUUGGUGGCUGGUGUUCCGUAGGUGGUUCCUUCACCGGCGGCUUGUGCUCCGGAAGCGGCUUCUCUACCUGGAGAAGCUUACGAGUUUUGUCAGAUGGCUUGUGUUGUGGUGGUGGCUUCUCUCCCGGGGGUGGUUUGCCAAAUGGACUUGGUGGCUUGUGUUCGGGGAGUGGCUUCUCUCCAUGGGGAGGUUUAGUUGGUGGUUGGUGUUGCGUAGGUGGUUUCUGAAGUGGGGGAUGCUUGGGGUAGUCAGCAAUAGACGAGGUAGUGAGAACCACCAGUCCCAACAGCAACACUAGCAAGGAUGUUGAAGACAUCUUUGAGUUCAGGCUGAGAUCU